rnacentral:lncRNA from 1 species
UUACUUUUCAUGCUGUAGUAGUAAUAAUUAAAAGAAAACCCAAAAAGAUUUCCUGUUCUUCUUUUGUUUGUUGGGAGCUUUCCUGUGCAAAUAGUUUUAUUUCUUUUCUUUUCUUUGGGGGUCGAUAGGAGAAGACCAUAAUGAAAAUGUUGAAGUGGCUCUUAUAUACAUUAUUGUUGAUUUAACCAAGAGCCCAUAUUACCUUGUCUUCUCCUUUGUAUUGAAUGCCUGCAGAUUCCAGCUUAGUUCAAUGCAUGUGCACUAUUAUUAUUAUACACAUCGUUCCGUCGAGCAAGUGAAAGACAAUUAUGACGAUAUAUGAUGGACUGAUUGAGAUGAGAGAAGCUGGUAUGAACUCGACCUCUCUUGUUUUUGUAAAUAUGAUUAGUUCAUCGUUCCUGAUUCAGCCUAUUAUGAAUAAACAUGUUUGCAAUGACAAUUAGAGAUUAUAGUUGCUUAUGCCAUGCUUAAUUAGCUAGGAGUUUAUAAUGGUUUAUCUUGCGUGCCAAUAUGCUAUUAAAAUGGUUGUGAUGUGGUUUAGUGAGGUGGUAUCCUCCUUUGAAUGAUUCGAGUGGCUAGACUUGGCACAUGUUCACGCAUGUAGUUGAAACAAAAUCAACAUAGCCUCCACAAUAUUUAUGUUCAUGGUGGAUUAUAUCCUACUCAUGCUUGCACUCAAUGUUUAUUAAUUUUAAUGCAUGUUCAAGACUGUUGUCGCUCUCUAGCUGGUCGCUUCCCAGUCUUUUACUAGCCUUCACUUGUACUAAGCGGGAAUACUGCUUGUGCAUCCAAUUCCUUAAAACCCCAAAGUUAUUCCAUUUGAGUCCAUCAUACCUUCCUAUAUGCGGUAUCUACCUGCCGUUCCAAGAAAAUUUGUAUGUGCCAAACUCUAAACCUUCAAAUAAAAUUCUGUUUUGUAUGCUCGAAUAGCUCAUGUAUCAACUAGGGCUGUCUGUAUCUUCCAUGCUAGGCGGGUUAUUCUCAAGAGGAGUGGACUCCGCUCCUCACUCACGAGAAAAAGGCCGGUCACCGAGAUGCCCAGUCCCAGGCUUUAAGAAAAUCAAAUCAAAAUAAUUGCAAACAAAACUCCCCCAGGAUUGUUGUUAGUUGGACGGUACCCAUUGUUUCGGACCAGCCGUGGAGUGCGCUUGUUGGAGGAGGGGGAGUAUAAACUUUACCAUUCUGUUUGGGAACCGCCUAUAUUGUGUGUAGCAUGGAACAUAUCGAGAUCUCUCGAUUGUUAUGUUGACAAUGAAAGUAUGGCGCUCAACAUAUUAUUUAUCUCUAUUUCAAAAAAUCGAGCUCUGGCACCUCUACAAAUCCCUGCUUCCCUCUGCGAAGGGCCUAUCCAUUUACUUUUAUGUUGAGUCAUCAUCCUCUUAUUAAAAAGCACCAGCUGGAGAGCACUACAGUCAUUUGCAUCCAUCACUAUUAAUUUAUAUUGAGUAUGACUAUGACUGGAUCUCUCUUACCAUGAAUUACAAUGUUUAGUCAGUCCUUGAUCUUUAAAGGUGCUCUGCAUUUAUGUUUUGCGGUCUCAGAAAGGGCUAGCGAGAUACCAUCUUGUUAUAUCAUAUUAUGAUUGUUUGAAGAAAGUGUUGUCAUCCGAGAUUUAUUAUUAUUGCUCGCUAGUUGAUUAUGCCAUUGAUAUGAGUAAACAUGAGACCUGAGUGUUAUUGUGAAUACGGUUAGUCAUAAUCUUUGCUGAAAACUUGAAUGCUGGCUUUACAUAUUUACAACAACAAGAGCAAACAGAGUUUGUAAAAGUUUUUCUUUAUCACUUUCAGUUUAUCAACUGAAUUGCUUGAGGACAAGCAAAGGUUUAAGCUUGGGGGAGUUGAUACAUCUCCAUCGUACCUACUUUUCCAAACACUUUUGCCCUUGUUUUGGACUCUAACUUGCAUGAUUUGAAUGGAACUAACCCAGACUGACGCUGUUUUCAGCAAAAUUGCCAUGGUGUUAUUUUUGUGCAGAACCAAAAGCUCUCGGAAUGACCUAAAACUUCAUGGGGAUUAUUCUUGGAAACAAUAAAAAAUACUAGCGAAAGAAUCAAGGCCAGGGGGCCCACACCAUGUCCACGAGGGUGGGGGCGCGCCCCCUGCCUCGUGGGCCCCUUGGUGCUCUACCGACGUCAACUCUAACUCCAUAUAUUCACUUUCGGGGAGAAAAAAACAGAGAGAAGGAUUCAUCGCGUUUUACGAUACAGAGCCGCCGCCAAGCCCUAAACUCUCUCGGGAGGGCUGAUCUGGAGUCUGUUCGGGGCUCCGGAGAGGGGAAUCCGUCGCCAUCGUCAUCAUCAACCAUCCUCCAUCACCAAUUUCAUGAUGCUCACCGCCGUGCGUGAGUAAUUCCAUCAUAGGCAUGCUUGACGAUGAUGGGUUGGAUGAGAUUUAUCAUGUAAUCGAGUUAGUUAUGUUAGGGUUUGAUCCCUAGUAUCCACUAUGUUCUAAGAUUGAUGUUGCUAUGACUUUGCUAUGCUUAAUUCUUGUCACUAGGGCCCGAGUGCCAUGAUUUCAGAUCUGAACCUAUUAUGUUUUCAUGAAUAUAUGUGAGUUCUUGAUCAUAUCUUGCAAGUCUAUAGUCACCUACUAUGUGUUAUGAUCCGGCAACCCUGAAGUGAUAAUAAUCGGGACCACUCCCGGUGAUGACCGUAGUUUGAGGAGUUCACGUAUUCACUAAGUGUUAAUGCUUUGGUCCGGCACUCUAUUAAAAGGAGGCCUUAAUAUCCCUCAGUUUCCACUAGGACCCCGCUGCCACGGGAGUGUAGGACAAAAGAUGUCAUGCAAGUUCUUUCCCAUAAGCACGUAUGACUAUAUUCGGAAUACAUGCCUACAUUAUAUUGAUGAAUUGGAGCUAGUUCUGUGUCACCCUAUGUUAUAACUGUUGCAUGAAUAAUCGCAUCCGGCAUAAUUCUCCGAUCCAAUGCCUACGAGCUUUUCAUAUAUUGUUCUUCGUUUAUUUACUUUUCCGUUACCACUGUUACAAUCACUAUAAAACUUUCACUGUUACUUUUGCCACCGUUACUGUUACUAUCAUACUACUUUGCUACUAAAUACUUUGCUGCAGAUAUUAAGUUAUCCAGGUGUGGUUGAAUUGACAACUCAACUGCUAAUACUUGAGAAUAUUCUUUGGCUCCCCUUGUGUCGAAUCAAUAAAUUUGGGUUGAAUACUCUACCCUCGAAAACUGUUGCGAUCCCCUAUACUUGUGGGUUAUCAAGUGUCGCGGCGAGCUUCUCCUCACAAGCGGCAAGAUCCUCCUCUUGGGAGUUCAGUUCGGCCUAGUGCUGGUGCCGGGCGGCCUCGUCCUUGACGGCCUGUUCCCUCGCUGCCUCCUGGGUCUUCUCGAUGCCGGCCUACUUCAUGACGAGCUCCGGCUUGCGUUCGGCCAGCAGGUCCUGGGCAACCUUCAGCUCCUGAUGGGCUUGGCGAAACCAAGCCUGCAUCUCGGCGAAGCGCUCCUCGAGGUCCGCCUCCGCCUUGUCCACCGCCGCCAUCCUGGACUUGGCCUUGUCCAGGCGGGCACGGUGAAGCGCCUGGAGCUUCUGGAAGUUGGCGCUCAUGGCCUGGAGGAGCCUCUCUUCCUAGGAACCGCCGCCACCGGUGCUCGGUUCGUCAACAACCUCAAGCCCGGCGACGGCGAGCACCUCGUCAUCAAACACCUCCCCCUCGGUGGGCACCCUGGUGCUUGCCGUCCCUGGGAGGUGGACGAACAGGUCGUCGCUCACCUUCAGGUACUUGCCUGAGCCGGAGGCAGCGGAGGAGGAAGGUUGGUCGUCAACCUCCCCCUCCUCGGUAGCGCCGUUGCCGGCCUCCCCGGCAGGCCCCUUGCCGGCCUCCUUGUCGGGCCCCUUGGCGGCAUCCUCAGUAGCGGUCUUGGCAGCCUCCUCGGCGGCGAUCUUGUCGGCCUCGGCCUCGGCGUCCCUGGCGACUACUUUGAUGACGAUGUCGAUGUCCUCCCGGUCCACCGAGGAAGGGCCUGGACACCAAGAAAGGGAAUGAGGCGGAGCGAAGGUCAAGGCCCAAGAAGAAGAAGGAAGAACAGGGAUGGGAAGUGGGCAAAAUUACCUGCACCAUGCUGGGAAGAAGUGGUGCCCUCCCUCGUUGCCGGGGUGGAACCACCGGCGCCCAAGUUCGUCUCCUCUUCCUCCUCCAUGGGCGUGGGCUCGGUGGUGGAUGCCCUUGCCGGGGACGCCCCUCGGGGCGGUGUAGUCGAGGGGAGCGGCAUAUUGGGGGUAGCCCUUGGCGGCUCCUCCGGCUGCCAUUCUUCUCCUGCAAACCCGGCAAGAUCAACAUCAAAGAUUCACACCCCAAAGUUCAUCAAUGGAGGAGUCCGUGACGGACUCACAUUGGGGGCUGAAGCGGGGGCUGGGUCGAGGGCUGCUCUCUACCACUAGCGGCGUACUCAAAGUACCCGCCGGGGGCUUGUCGCCAUCGAGGCCUCGGCCCUCUCCGCCACCCUCUGCGCCAGCGUCUCCGUGUCCCUAUGAAGACAAUAUCAGGUCAACGAAGGAUGACACAGGAGUAAAGUCAGAGGGUAAUGUGGGGGGGGGGGAUGCUUACUCUUCCUCCAUGUCCUCCUCCACUGGCUUCCUCUUCCUCCUUGGGCUGAUAGACCCAAAAUCGAAGAUGACCUCCGUGUCGACAUCUGCAGGAGGAGGGGAAGGAGAUGGGGUCCGGUGGCGCUUGGACAAAGAAGAGGCAGUCGCCCUCUUCUUCGCCACCGGGGCCUUCACCGCCUUCUUCGCCGCCGCGACCCUCGUCAGGCGCACGAACUGCUCCUGAACCUGUUGCCACUGCGCGGUCCUGCCGGGCUGGACCGGCUCGGCAGAGCCAGCCCGACACAGGACACAUCUUUUUCCCGCGGCCGGAGGAUCGACGGCCUCGGCCUCUUCCUCGGUCGACUCCUCGUCCACAUCUUCAACUAGGGGGGCCUCGGCGUUGGCACCGCUGGCCUCCUCGGCAGACUCCACCCACUGGGCGAGCUCUUUUUCCUCCGCGGCCCAGUCGGCCUCGUCCUCCACGUGGCUAGUGCUGCCGGCCUCCCGGGAAAGUGCCGCCUCCGCCGCCCUGGCGGCAAUAUAAAUCCAGCUCCUCUUUGGUGGUGUCUUGAAUGAGCAGUGGCUCUUCACGGAUAUACUUCUCUGACAGAUUGUCGAAGAACUACUACACCCGCUCCGCCUCCAGCUCGGCCCAACUAGGGUCCAGGCCAUGCGCGUUGAAGUCCGGCAUCAUGGCGAUGAUGUCGGUUUGGCGAGAAUUGUUGCUCAGCGGGACCACUCCCGCCGGCAACCCAAACAAAGGCCCUUUGACGGCCUUGCCGGCCUUGUCGCUCCUCUCCACCCUGCCGUCGCGGUUCACGUCAAGCUGAAAAAGCCUCGGGCAGAAAUGGACGUGCCCCAUCACCGUGAAGUUGUGCUUCAGGCCAGGGCGAAGCCUCAUCAUGUCAGCCGCGUUCUGGAAAAGCCAAGCCGGCCUCCCCUUGUUGUGCAGUGGGGUGAUUCGGCGUCGGAUGAAAUCUGCCCCAAUCAUCUCAAGGGUGAGCCCGGCCUCGGCAAGACGGUGAAUCCUGGUGGUGGCGAUUGUGAGCUUCUCGUCGUCGACAUCGACGUCACUCCAAUCCUUACAACGGACCGACGGACUCUGGCGAACUUGGCAGAACUCCUGCGGACCUUUCUCCUCGAUCCAUAACCACCGGCUCCGCCACUCCUCCCACCUCUCCUUCUCGGCGCCCUCCGGAUACAUCCCCUUCUCCUGGGUGCGUGGGAUCCAGGUGACGCACCCGGAGAUGGCGCCCCCCGCCUGGAUGCGGGGAUAGAAGUAGUGGCGGAAGAGCGCCGUGCUGGGGAGCACGCCGGCGAAGCCCUCGCAGAGAUGAGCGAAGAAAGCCAUGCACGCCACCGCAUUUGGCGUGAAAUGAAGGAGAUAGAAGCCAUAGGUGUGCAUGACAUCGUUGAAGAAAUUGGAAAAAGGAGGGCAGAGCCCGCAGGAGAAGUAGUCAAUGAAGAAGGGGUACCGAUUCGGGCCGGCCUUGGCAAAAGCGGCAGGGAUGAUGUGCGUGGCCAGAUGGCCCGUCGUCUUCCUCCCCCACAAAGGCCUGAAGUAAUCCCUGAGGUGGAUUGCAUCGACCAUCGGGGGAAAGUAGGCAAGCUGCGUCCGGAACACCGCCAGCUCGCUCUCCGGCACGCCCUUCUCCCCGAGGUCCUCCGCCACUCCCUUGCCUCUGCUGGACUUGGGCGCCAUGGCGACUAGGGAGGAGGUGAGGUUGAGGGCCACCAGGGCGCGGCGGCGGCGGACAGAGGAGGGAGCUUCGAAUCUUUCGCCCGAGGAAGAAGAGAGGAACGGCGGUUCUGAGAUUGGAAGAAGCACAAAGGGUUAAUGAGCGGCGUGCCUGUGCUUAUUCCUUUUUAUGGGGAAGCCGCGGGCCGCCACUUUACCAUUUACUGCGAUGUGACGCAUGAGGGCAGGAACCGCCCCAUGCAUGACCCCCACGUCACGCACGACCCUCCACAUCACGCAUUCAACGCGGGUCAUGGGGAAGCGCGACGGGCGAGGGAAUUACCGCAGUAAAACUUCGCUCCGCUUGCCCGCGCACCGUUCUGGGCCUAGCCCAACAACGCAUUGCGCUUAUGUGUGGCCCAGGCCUGGGGGCUCUUGUCGGUGUACAAAAGUAGGGGCUCUCCUUUUUACCCCUUUACUUGUGCACUGAUACGUCUCCAACGUAUCUAUAAUUUUUGAUUGUUCCAUGCUAUUAUAUUAUCUGUUUUGGAUGUUUAAUGGGCUUUAUUAUACACUUUUAUAUUAUUUUUGGGACUAACCUAUUAACCGAAGGCCCAAUGCAAAUUGCUGUUUUUUUGCCUAUUUCAGUGUUUCGUAGAAAAGGAAUAUCAAACGGAAUCCAAACGGAAUGAAACCUUCGGGAGAGUGAUUUUUGGAACAAACGUGAUCCAGGAGACUUGGAGUGGACGUCAAGAAAGAAGCGAGGAGGCCAUGAGGCAGGGAGGCGCGCCUGCCCCCCUAGGCACGCCCCCACCCUCGUGGGCCCCUCGCAGCUCCACCGACCUACUUCUUCCUCCUAUAUAUACCCAUAUACCCCGAAAACAUCAUGGAGCACCAUGAAACCCUAUUUCCACCGCCGCAACCUUCUGUACCCGUGAGAUCCCAUCUUGGGGCCUUUUCCGGCGCUCCGCCAGAGGGGGAAUCGAUCACGGAGGGCUUCUACAUCAACACCAUAGCCUCUCCGAUGAUGUGUGAGUAGUUUACCACAGACCUUCGGGUCCAUAGUUAUUAGCUAUAUGGCUUCUUCUCUCUCUUUGGAUCUCAAUACAAAGUUCUCCUUGAUUCUCUUGGAGAUCUAUUCGAUGUAAUUCUUUUUGCGGUGUGUUUGUCGAGAUCCGAUGAAUUGUGGGUUUAUGAUCAAGAUUAUCUAUGAACAAUAUUUGAAUCUCCUCUGAAUUCUUUUAUGUAUGAUUUGUUAUCUUUGCAAGUCUCUUCGAAUUAUCAGUUUGGUUUGGCCUACUAGAUUGAUCUUUCUUGCAAUGGGAGAAGUGCUUAGCUUUGGGUUCAAUCUUGCCGUGUCAUUUCCCAGUGACAGCAGGGGCAGCAAGGCACGUAUUGUAUUGUUGCCAUCGAGGAUAAAAAGAUGGGGUUUAUAUCAUAUUGCUUGAGUUUAUCCCUCUACAUCAUGUCAUCUUGCUUAAUGCGUUACUCUGUUCUUAUGAACUUAAUACUCUAGAUGCAUGCUGGAUAGCGGUCGAUGUGUGGAGUAAUAGUAGUAGAUGUAGAAUCGUUUCGGUCUACUUGUCGCGGACGUGAUGCCUAUAUACAUGAUCAUCCAUAGAUAUUCUCAUAACUAUGCACUUUUCUAUCAAUUGCUCGACAGUAAUUUGUUCACCCACCGUAAUACUUAUGCUAUCUUGAGAGAAGCCACUAGUGAAACCUAUGGCCCCCGGGUCUAUUUUCCAUCAUAUAAGUUUCCAAUCUAUUUUGCAAUCUUUACUUUCCAAUCUAUAUCAUAAAAAAUACCAAAAUAUUUAUCUUAUUAUCUCUAUCAGAUCUCACUUUUGCAAGCGGCCGCGAAGGGAUUGACAACCCCUUUAUUGCGUUAGUUGCAAGGUUCUUAUUUGUUUGUGCAGGUACAAGGCGACUUGUGCGUAACCUCCUACUGGAUUGAUACCUUGGUUCCCAAAACUAAGGGAAAUACUUACGCUACUUUGCUACAUCACCCUUUCCUCUUCAAGGGAAAAAUCAACGCAGUGCUCAAGAGGUAGCAUGCACGGGAUGUCAGAGCCGCGCCCGCGGCCACACUAACCAGGGCAGAGGAGGGAAGCCAAAGGUGCAAGACGAGCGAAGCAACGCCAAGACCAGAGGCGCAAAGAGCAGAGGGGCGAGGUGGGCUCCCCCGGCAAGGCCCUUGCCGGGGCAACUUGCCUAACGUCAGCAGAGCGCGCCACCCUUGAGCCCAAGGGUUCCAACACCAUCGACCACAUUGGAACCAAGGCUCGGGAGGCACCUCCAUGGUGGCAUGUAGAUCUUUGUGAAGACCAUGAGCACACAAGAUCAGAUGAGGACCAGAAGACGAUGAUCCUCGGCGAGAUCCUUGCCGAGGAAAUCCACGAGACCCCCGGCAAGAUCCCUGCCGGGGAUGACCGCGAUGCCACGGCAAGACCCUUGCCGACGCCCCAGCAAGACCCUUGCCGAGGACACCUGCGGGGCCACGGCCAGGCCCACGUCUGCCAAGACUCCACCGCCGUUCCCAUACAGCUGCCAGCCCAACCAGCUGGGCAGGCACCUGCGUGGCGACGCGCGGCCUCCAGGCCAACUCAGCAAGCACCUGCGUGGUGGCAUGCAGAUCUUCGUGAAGACUCUGCCACCGCGCCAGCCCAGCAGCCAGCCAACAUGGCGCUAUAAUGCCUCAUCAGCUCGGACGCGCGUCGGAGCCAGGCGAGGCGGCGACAGCUGGGACGAGCUUCCUCGCCGUCCCCGAUAAAGCAAGAAGGGCAUGUCGGCAGCGCAUUAAAUGCAUUUGUCCGUCGGUGCCAGAUGAUAAGCUUAACUACUGUAUACCUUUCCACCUCCUGUGUGCCCCUGUGGCGACCCCUUUUAACUAUAAAAGGAGGCCCGAGGCGUACUGGAGAAGGAUUCAGAUCUUUUGGACUACACACGCACCGUAGCUAGUUCGAGAGCUUAAGAACACUCACAUAUACAUCAAAGCAGGACCAGGGUAUUACGCAUCUCCGUGGCCCGAACCUGGGUAAAUGAUCCUUGUGCUGACUACCAGACCCACACUUUGCACAACCCCGUGCCCUCUAACCGGAGAAGGAAUGCCAGUGAUCCCAUAGGUGUCGUUUCCACCGACACCAACCAUGAAACUAGUAAUGCAGAAAAUGAGCACAAGUUUACGGACGAUGCUUAUGGGAAAAAAUAGAUUGAUAAUGGAGGUUGACGAGGAGUAAAAAAAGUGUAUUUCAUCAACACAGUUGGUGAUUAGGCAAUGAGGAAAGCCUCAACAAUAUUAAUAUAAUGAGGAAUGCCAUAAGAAGUUUAGGCCUUGUAACUAGGAUACACAUACAACUAUGAACAUGUGCUAGUAUGAGAGAUGGUGCUAGUGAACCUAUGAAUCUCGAUCCAAUUUCCUACAUACAAAAUCUUCUACAAUCUCAUUUAUAUGAAGAUUUAUUUUCAACCAUUUGUUAUUCGAGAAAACUUCAUUAUCUACUGAUAACCCACAAGUAUAGUGGAUCGCAACAGUUUUCGAGGGUACAGUAUUCAACCCAAAUUUAUUGAUUCGACACAAGGGGAUCCAAAGAAUAUUCUCAAGUAUUUGCAGUUGAGUUGUCAAUUCAACGACACCUGGAUAACUUAGUAUCUGCAGCAAAGUAUUUAGUAGCAAAGUAAUAUGAUAGUAACGGUAACAGUGGCAAAGGUAACAGUGACAACUUUGUAGUGAUUGUAACAGCAGCAACGGUAAAGUAACUAAGCGAAGAACAAUAUGUGAAAAGCUCGUGGACAUUGGAUCGGUGAUGGAGAAUUAUGCCGGAUGCGAUUAUUCAUGCAAUAGUUAUAACAUAGGGUGACACAGAACUAGCUCCAAUUCAUUAAUGUAAUGUAGGCAUGUAUUCCGAAUAUAGUCAUACGUGCUUAUGGAAAAGAACUUGCAUGACAUCUUUUGUCCUACCCUCCCAUGGCAAUGGGGUCCUAGUGGAAACUAAGGGAUAUUAAGGCCUCCUUUUAAUAGAGUACCGGACCAAAGAAUUAACACAUAGUGAAUACAUGAAGUCCUCAAACUACGGUCAUCACCGGGAGUGGUCCCGAUUAUUGUCACUUCGGGGUUGCCGGAUCAUAACACAUACUAGGUGACUAUAGACUUGCAAGAUAGGAUCAAGAACUCACAUAUAUUCAUGAAAACAUAAUAGGUUCAGAUCUGAAAUCAUGGCACUCGGGCCCUAGUGAUAAGCAGUAAGCAUAACAAAGUCAUAGCAACAUCAAUCUCAGAACAUAGUGGAUACUAGGGAUCAAACCCUAACAAAACUAACUCGAUUACAUGAUAAAUCUCAUCCAACCCAUCACCGUCCAGCAAGCCUACGAUGGAAUUACUCACGCACGGCGGUGAGCAUCAUGAAAUUGGUGAUGGAGGAUGGUUGAUGAUGACGAUGGCGACGGAUUCCCCUCUCCGGAGCCCCGAACGGACUCCAGAUUAGCCCUCCUGAGAGAGUUUAGGGCUUGGCGGCGGCUCCGUAUCGUAAAACGCAAUGAAUCCUUCUCUCUGAUUUUUUUCUCCCCAAACGUGAAUAUAUAGAGUUGGAGUUGAGGUCGGUGGAGCACCAGGGGGCCCACGAGGCAGGGGGCGCGCCCAGGGGGGCAGGUUUGCCUCCCACCCUCGUGGACAUGGUGUGGGCCCCCUGGCCUUGAUUCUUUCGAUAGUAUUUUUUAUUAUUUCCAAAAAUAAUCUUCGUGAAGUUUCAGGUCAUUCCGAGAACUUUUGUUUCUGCACUAAAAUAACACCAUGGCAAUUCUGCUGAAAACAACGUCAGUCUGGGUUAGUUCCAUUCAAAUCAUGCAAGUUAGAGUCCAAAACAAGGGAAAAAGUUUUUGGAAAAGUAGAUAAGACGGAGACGUAUCAACUCCCCCAAGCUUAAACCUUUGCUUGUCCUCAAGCAAUUCAAUUGAUAAACUAAAAGUGAUAAAGAAAAACUUUUACAAACUCUGUUUGCUCUUGUUGUUGUAAAUAUGUAAAGCCAGCAUUCAAGUUUUCAGCAAAGAUUAUGACUAACCAUAUUCACAAUAACACUUAGGUCUCAUGUUUACUCAUGUCAAUGGCAUAAUCAACUAGCGAACAAUAAUAAUAAAUCUCGGAUGACAACACUUUCUCAAAACAAUCAUGAUAUGAUAUAACAAGAUGGUAUCUCGCUAGCCCUUUCUGAGACCGCAAAACAUAAAUGCGGAUCACCUUUAAAGAUCAAUGACCGACUAAACAUUGAAAUUCAUGGUAAAAGAGAUCCAGUCAUAGUCAUACUCAAUAUAAACUAAUAGUAAUGGAUGCAAAUGACAGCGGUGCUCUCCAGCUGGUGCUUUUUAAUAAGAGGGUGAUGACUCAACAUAAAGGUAAAUAGAUAGGCCCUUCGCAGAGGGAAGCAGGGAUUUGUAGAGGUGCCAGAGCUCGAUUUUUGAAAUAGAGAUAAAUAAUAUUUUGAGUGGUAUACUUUCAUUGUCAACAUAACAAACGAGAGAUCUUGAUAUCUUCCAUGCGACUCACAUUAUAGGCGGUUCCCAAACAGAAUGGUAAAAUUUAUACUCCCCCUCCACCAACAAGCAUCAAUCCAUGGCUUGCUCGAAACAACGAGUGACUCCAACUAAGAAGAGUCCCGGGGGAGUUUUGUUUGCAAUUAUUUUGAUUUGAUUUGCAUAAAUCAUGGGACUGGGCAUCCCGGUGACCAGCCAUUUUCCCGGUGACCAGCCAUUUCCUCUUGAGAUACAGACAUCCCUAGUUGAUACAUGAGCUAUUCGAGCAUACAAAAAACAGAAUUUCAUUUGAAGGUUUCUUGGAACGGCAUGUAGAUACCGCAUAUAUAGGAAGGUAUAGUGGAAUCAUAUGGAAUAACUCUGGGGUUCACGGAAGUGGAUGCACAAGCAGUAUUCCCGCUUAGUACAAGUGAAGGCUAGAAAAAGACUGGGAAGCGACCAACUAGAGAGCGACAACAGUCAUGAACAUGCAUUAAAAUUAAUAAACAUUGAGUGCAAGCAUGAGUCGAUAUAAUCCACCAUGAACAUAAAUAUCGUGAAGGCUAUGUUGAUUUGUUUCAACUACAUGUGUGAACAUGUGCCAAGUCAAGCCACUCAAAUCAUUCAAAGAAGGAUACCACCCUAUUAUACCACAACACAACCAUUUUAAUAGCAUGUUGGCACGCAAGGUAAAGCAUUAUAAACUCCUAGCUAAUUAAGCAUGGCAUAAGCAACUAUAAUCUCUAAUUGUCAUUGCAAACAUGUUUAUUCAUAAUAGGCUGAAUCAGGAAUGAUGAACUAAUCAUAUUUACAAAAACAAGAGAGGUCGAGUUCAUACCAGCUUCUCUAAUCUCAAUCAUUUCAUCAUAUAUCGUCAUAAUUGCCUUUCACUUGCAUGACCGAACGAUGUGAAUAAUAAUAAUAGUGCACGUGCAUUGGACUAAGCUGGAAUCUGCAAGCAUCUGAUAAAUAGGAGAAGAUAAGGCAAUAUGGGAUCUUAGUUAAAUCAACAAUAAUGCAUAUAAGAGCCACUUCAACAAUUUCAUUAUGGUCUUCUCUUCUCGACCCCCAAAGAAAAAGAAAGGAAAUAAAACUAUUUACACGGGAAAGCUCCCAACAAGCAAAAGAAGAACGAGAAAUCUUUUUGGGUUUUCUUUUAAUUAAUACUACUACAACAUGGAAAGUAAACUAGCUAAAAGCUACUACUAAUUUUUUUGGGUUUUUCUUAAGGUUUUUCAAACACACAAGAAGAAAGCAUAAAAAGGAAAAUAAACUAGCAUGGAUAGUACAACGAAAAAGUAUGAGCACCGACAACUUGCAUGAGUGUGUGAAUAUGAAUGUAAUGUUGGUGAGAAAUACGUACUCCCCGAAGCUUAGGCUUUUGGCCUAAGUUGGUCUAUUGCCACGGCUGGCCUGGCGGAUAUCCAAAGUUGUAACUGGGGUCGUACUGAGAUGCAGCGUCUAUUGCAUCGUGGGCUGCAGCUUGGAGGUGAGCUAUCUCAGUCCUCCUCUCAUACUCGUUAGCCUCCUCCCUGGUUACGACAUAUCUCCCUUUUGCCUGAAAGUCAAAGAAAGUAGGAGCAGGGAGAGAGACGUGAUAGGUGCGUCGUCUGUCAAAGAUUAGUCGGUACUGGAGGAACUGAUCGUUCCUCUCAACAAACUGAUGACGAACCAUAGCCUCAUAAUCUAAAUAAACAGGAGGCAACUCAAUAUCAUACUCACGUAUGGGUAUAUCAAGAAAAUUAGCUAGACGGGUUGCAUAAAUUCCACCAAAGAAAUCUCCAUUAUUUCUAUUAUUAUGCAACCUACGUGCAACAAUGGCUCCCAAAUUAUAAUGUUUAUCUCCUAAUACAGCACUCCUGAGAACACUGAGAUCAGGGACACACAUGUGACAUGCUUCAUCCUUACCAUUGAUGCACCUACCUAUGAAGAGAGCAAAAUAAUGUAUAGCAGGAAAAUGAAUGCUCCCUAUGGUAGCUUGUGUUAUAUCUCUAGACUCCCCCAUAGUUAUACUAGCAAGAAAACCUCUAAACUCAGAUUUGCGAGGCUCACUAGUGCUACCCCAUUGUGGAAGUUUGCAAGCAGUAUUAAAAUCCUCUAAGUCCAUAGUAUAAGAAUUUUCAUAAAGAUGAAACAGGACAGUUUGAGAAUUGCGUGAUGAUGAAUUCAAACCUUCUCACAAAGGAAUCAGUGAGAUAGUGGUACUGACGGCACUUAUCUGCCUCGAAGCUCUCAAGAUCACCGUUACGCACAUAUGCGUUAAAUUCUUCCUUGAGUCCUGCUCGAUCCAUAAAGUCCUCUGCGGCCAUUCACAAGCCCGCACUUGAGCUUCCUGUCGGUGUCAAAACCGGUGGAUCUCGUAGUAGGGGUCCUAAGCUAGGCUCCUGGGAGCGAUGGUAACAUGGACACGGGGUUUUACCCAGCUUCGGGCUCUCUUGAUGAGAUAAUACCCUACAUGCUGCUUUUGAUUGUAUUCAUAUGGGUGUAUUACAUAGUACAUGUAUCUACCACGAGAUUGUAGUAACGAGUAUGAUAUAUCCAUUGACUAGCCUGGCCUCGGUUUAUAUAAGACACCGGAGGCCUAGGGUUUAGGAGAGUCCUUGUCUUGGGCGCCAAGUCUUGUGGAGUCUUCCUUGUAUGCGGCAGAGGCUGUCCGAACUGGCCCAUGAGUAAACGGCCCUCGGGGUCCUUGGCCCAAUCCAAGAGAUCGGGAGACGACGUGGGGAGUACCCCCUAGUCCCGGACACCGUCAGUAGCCCCCUGAACCGGUCUUCAAGUUGGGGACGCUCCUCGAUUCUUCCGAACUGUUCUUCAUCUUCGGUCAUCGGUCUUGAAAACUGGUUCAACAAAUCUUUCCAUCUUCGGUCAUGAGGAUCGCCAAAGUGAAUCCGAAGAGUUUAUACGUCGGGUAUCCGAGGAGCCCUUUAAGUUCUCGGCCUUUAUCAAUGACUUGUUAUUUUUACGCCCACCUCGGGUUUGAAGUUGUUCCCGGGCGGCGGUGUCCUCUUGCAUCCGAGCUCCAACGCCGGACUGCAUUCGAGGUAUCUUUUGCAGCCAAGCACCAACGCCGGGCCGCUUCCAAGCUCCAAUGCCGGAAUGUAUUCGAAGAAUCUUGUUACAUCCGAGCUCCAAUGCCGGACUAUAUCCAAGCUCCAACACCGGACUAUAUCCGAGGUGUCAUAGAUCACCUAGGCUUAAAAAAGUUGAAGGAGUUUAGCCGAGCUUAAUGCCGGAAAUGCCCUCUAUAGAGCCAGCCGAUUGCAUCCGAGCUUUAUGCCGGACUGCUUCCAAGAUGACGCACCACCUCGGGCUUGGACUGAUUGUUUGUGGAUUUUAUUUCCGAUUGAUGCAAUUUACUUGCUGACGAGAUAUGUAGCGAGUAGCCCUCAAGGUGUGUAUCGGCCUAAAAUUCCGAGAUGCACUUUAGAGGAGAUAGUGAUCGGCGGACGAACCCUUGAGAGAGGGUUUUGAGAAGUCGCCAUAAUAUACUAGCUUGAUGCCGGAUAGGUCCAUAUGGUACUUAUUGUUGUCCGAAGACGCGUUUGCGCAUAGUUCGGUCAAGCCGAACAUUGAGCACUUUGAAUUUUCUGCAUUGAAUAGGCAAUGUAGUAUCCCCCGAGACACUGGUCAGGUGGCAACACCAGAUCAGGGGAUCGGUGUACCCCUUUAAUAUUUGUAAAUGAUAAGCACGAAGCCCAGUAGCCCCCGAGCCUUAAUAUGGGCACGGGUGACCGAAUUAAGGAUCGAUUUCCAAAGUAAAAUCACAAAUUAUGUGUAAUGAUUCUAUGUAUCCAAGUACUUUACAUCAUUAAUGCUCGGAUCCGCAUUGUACAAAACUUUUUGACCGACCAUCAGCUUCAACCUCCUCAGCCAGCAGUCGAGGAGUGUUUGUCCUACUUUAUAAAGCCUUUAGGAGGGCAAAGAUUUACGACAAACGAGGCAAUCCGGCCAUAUGGUUGUAUAAACAAAGGUACGCAGAGAGAUGUUAUAUUAUUGUUUUAACAAAAAAAUGUCUUCCAAAGAAAAUAGUACCGCUAUUGGUUCCUUUCUUUGCGUUGUCAUGCUAAACAUGAUCAUCAAACCUCACCUUCGAUCAAUGCGGAUAUUGACGAUUUAGUUUGGGGAAAGUUCCCGAACUAUGUGGUCCUUAGCAAACCUAAAUUUUCACUUCCGUCAUUGCCGAUCAAUUAUAUCCUUUAAGAUCGCUAGCUUUCGGCUUCACCCAGUCUGAGGUACCAACUCGGAUGACCCGGUAGUAACAAUCACAGAGGUGCUCCCUUUACCGCCUAGCCGAACAAUCGGGAAGGUAGGGGUAAGCACAGGAGCCAGGCAACCCAGCUUGGCCAAAAUCUUAAGUCAAAUUGAUGCAUAUUUAUGGCUUUAUAUAACGAUGAUUAUGUAAGGCAGCCCUCGUAUAUUAAAUACAAAUGCCGGCGAUAUGUUUAUUUUGACUCCGUUGCGACCGUUUAUCAGUUGAAAGUGGCCCAUCGUCGGCUUCCACCCCCUUGUAGAUGCUAUGCAGGGUGUUUUCGCAAUAACAAAACAACCCUUAGCCGACGUCUCGGUGCCCGAAGGCGGUUGUGUUAGCGGAAACGAGGCAAUCAGAUAUGCGGGCUUUAUAACUUUCUCUUAGUCAUAGGAGCUUAGAGUUGGGAGGCCAGUUACUAGCCCCCGGUUAGUGUUCGGCGAUAGCCGAUGUCAAGCUGUUAACACUUCGGCCAAUAUUAUGAAUGGCCCGUCGCUUAACACGAGAUGACCUCCAUCAAUCUUAUAAUUUAACGCAGUCAUCGGAUCACUGACCAGUUUACGCUUAUUGUGACAGUCGGUUUUCGGCUUUCUCCACUAAGGCGCUUAACCAUGCAAGCUGGAAGCACAAUCGCAGAGGUUCUCCCUUUGCACACCUAGCCGAACAAAGCGGAACGUAGGAGGCAAGCACAAGAGCCGGGCAACCCAACUAUUGACCGAAGACACAAUUCGAAACCGAUGCACAUAUAGCAAUGUCCGAGAAUGUUUUUGCCGAAUCUCUAAAGGUGUCCGGCGUUGCACUGCGAGACUAAUGCUGGAAACACAUAAAUAGUUUAAAAGUGCCAAGGGCUUGGAAAACCAAAAAACUUCAGUAAAAACUUGACGUCCGAACUAGAUCAAGUGUUCGGUGCCAAUCCGAAAAUUGGUCUUAGAAGAAAAAAACUUGUACUUCUGUUGUGUUUUAACAUGACACAUCCUAUCUCAAGACUCUCAAGCAGGUCAGCCUACGGCUUCAACCUCCUAUCCCGAAGGCGGAGUACUUCUCGUUAGGCCAGUUUAGCAAACAAAACUCUAGCGGCUUUGAGAGAGAAAUUAGGCUAUCCCGCUAUUGACCACACACUUGGCGUCGAGAAAACAGUGAUAAAAAAGACUUUGCAACGACUAAGAAAAAAACGGCUCAUGCUAAUUUAAGAGCCCCCAAGUGACUUGGGUAAAAGAAUUUUAUGUAUAAUGAUUGUAUGUACUGAAGUACUUAUAUCAUAUAUGUGUUCACCCGAACUUUAAACGCGUCUUAACCGACCGUCGGCUUCUCCCUCUUCGGCCAAGGGCCAAAAAGUGUUAUGUACUCCACCUGUCGAGAAUAUCGACGGUAUUUCCGAUAACCAGGCAAUCAGGCCAUAAGGCUGUAACAGACAAAGCACGCUCAGGGAACUUAUGCUAUAUUACUGACGAAGUGUAAGAAGCAUCUUCGAAGAAAAUAGUACCUCCACCGGUACCUUUCUUUGGUUGCUCAUUGUUACUAUGAGACUUGUGCAAUAGAUUUUUUGUACUCAUGAGUUCCGUUGUGUGCCGACCAUGAUUGAAAACAAUAAGAGCGCUAGUUUUUAGCUUCACCCAGUCUGAGGUCCGAGCUCGGAUGACUCGAUCGUGACAAUCGCAGAGGUGCUCCCUUUACUCCCUAGCCGAACAAUCGGAACGUAGGGGUAAGCACAGGAGCCAGGCAACCCAGCUUGCGGAACACUUAAGUCAACAUGGUGCAUAUUGUGGCGUUAUACACGAACAACGAACGAAGCCAUACAAGUAUAAUCAUAUGCAAGAGGAAAGGCUUCGUAAAGGAAGCCCCCAAGUAAACGGGGUAUUUGAAUUGCAACAAACAAGGUUUUGACAAAGAAAGUUUGUCGCAAAUGACUUUUUGUCAAAAAAGCAUAAUGCUUGGUCGAACCGAACGAAAUUUAAAACUGAAGGUAUUUAAGCAUGGAAGCGACUUAGCUGGUUAAUGUGCUCGGUGUCGAUGCACGGCCCGAGCUUGAUGCGGGACAAGGUUCCAGCCCCCAGGCUGGUCCCGAGGUGGCCGAGCAGAGAGUUCGGCACUCCGAAGAGAUGAAGCCCCCAGUCCAGCCGCGGUGAUGGAGCAGGUCGGCGGGUGACACCAGAGUCUCCGGCUGAGUAGGUUGACGAAGCGACGAUGCGGGGUUGCCAACAUAGGGCAGCACGCCAAGGCGACAACACAAUUUGGUCGACGGAGGCGACAGCGUGGCUCAGUCUAAGUCGAUUGGCUGCAUAGAUAAAAUAGUGCAAACCAAAAGUAAUGACAGAUAAUAAUGUAUAUUAAAAAAUUCUUCUACUUAAUUAAUAUAAGUGAAGUAAAUAAUGGAAGAGAUAUGGCCUGAGCAUCGAGGUCGGCCCAGUGAAGUGGUCGCGUGGUAAUGCUGACAGAGGGAUGUGUGCUGAGGCGACUCCCCAACUUGAUCAACAUCGGCAGGACGAUGUUGUUGGCCCCAUGGAGUUGACCGCGUGACAUAAUCUAAGGUGAUUACCUACGCACAUAAAAUAGUGCACUCCAAAAAUAGAAAAUCUUCUAUUUAAUUGACAUAAGUAAAUUUCUUUUGAAUAAAUAUGGCCCGGGCGACAAGGUCAGCCCGGCGGAGCCGCAAUGUGGAAAAGUUGACACAGGGACACGCAUCGACGCGACGCGACGACUUGGUCAACGUCGGCGGGACGACAAUAUCACCUUGUUGAGGUGUUAGCGCGGCCCAACCUAAAGAGAUUGCCUGCACACACAAAGUAGUGCAACCAAGAAAUAAUAAUAGUGAAAAAAGGUGCAUAAUUAAUUUAUGCGAAAAAGGUUUGGAAAAUAUGGCUUGAGCGCUGAGACUAGCUCGAUGGCGCGAUGGUGUCGUGGUACGGCGAUGUCGGCGAAGGUUGGCCUGCCCAGGUGACAGGGAGAGGCUGGCCAGACUAACGCCAGGUACAAACGUCGGUAGAAUUUCUUUGCCAAAAUAAUGCAGUACACGCCAACAGAAAAAAAUCCAUGCGUAAUAAGUUUACGUGCUAACCGAAUAGUUAGGAAAGAUGAAACCUGGAAUUAUUUUGCACGUAGCAGACCGAAGAGGAAAUUCUUCAAGAUCCCAGGUGACCUAGUACUAAACCAGACCAUCCUCCGGGAGAAGUUGCAGUGGCAAUUGACGAAGAAUCAACAAAAAAUCAAGCAUUAGAUUUGGCCUUUACGUGAAUUGGAAAAGCAAAGCUAAGGCAUACUAUGCAUUGAUUAGAUCUCGAAGAUCGUGUUGCACUUAUACUAAUAAUACCAAUUAACAAAUUGAAUAACUUCCCUGAUGCUUCACGUGGAGUAGAUUCUCUUUCUACGGGAACACUACUAGCAGCAGGAAAUCGGCCAGGGGACUUGGCCUGGGACUUCGGCUGGUGGAGGAAAAAAUAGUGGCGGCCGAUCAUCUCCGAUUUGACCACUAGUUGGACUAGUAUUCGGCUGGUGCUCUUGUAUGCUUCGCGGCUAGUCGGCCACAACACGUCCAUGACCAGACCAUCAGGGAACGGUGGCGCCUGUCACUCAUGGACACGGCCGUCUAUACUUCUGAUUUGCAAAUAAUUAGUGCAGACUAGCAACGGGGCUCGAAAUAAAUUAUUCAUUACAGGACGAUCUAACCAGAAGAAUAUCACCUGGUUCACCCCAUCAAUCUGUGACGAUCACCCAGCAGGCUCUCGAUGAAAGCACCAAUGUCGGUGUCAAAACUGGCGGAUCUCGUAGUAGGGGUCCUAAGCUAGGCGUCUGGGAGCGAUGGUAACAUGGACACGGGGUUUUACCCAGCUUCGGGCUCUCUUGAUGAGAUAAUACCCUACAUGAUGCUUUUGAUUGUAUUCAUAUGGGUGUAGUACAUAGUACAUGUAUCUACCACGAGAUUGUAGUAACAAGUAUGAUAUAUCCAUCGACUAGCCUGGCCUCGGUUUAUAUAAGACACCAGAGGCCUAGGGUUUAGGAGAGUCCUUGUCUUGGGCGCCAAGUCUUGUGGAGUCUUCCUUGUAUGCGGCAGAGGCUGUUCGAACUGGCCCAUGAGUAAACGGCCUUGGGGGUCCUCGGCCCAAUCCAAGAGAUCGGGAGACGACGUGGGGAGUACCCCCUAGUCCCGGACACCGUCACUUACCUCUGUGGUUCAUCGUCCGCAUCGCGUAUUGCGAGCCUGGGCCCUUGCUUCCUUGAAGGACCACCUUGGUAUAUUUUCCUAAACAUAUUUCUUCCUCUGAAAAAUUGCUGAAAAUUUUAGUAACUCAAAAUAAAAGUGAACCAAACUCAACAAAAUUGAUAGCAACUACUCCUACAAGAUCCUAGAGACUAUAUCAUGCAUUAGAACUACUUGGGACAAUAUAAAUUUGACAUGCAAACUCAAGAACAGGGUCACCUAGGCAGCAAAAAUUUGCAAUAAAUAAAGCACUAGAACAAAAACUAAUUGGACCAUUGGAGGAGUCACAUACCGAAGAACAAUCCCCCAAAGCAGUUUUGUGAAUGGAGCUUUGAGCAAGGAGAUCGAAAAUCACAGCAAAAUGAGCUAGAACUCGUGCUUGAGCUGGUUGGUGAUUUUUUGGGAGGAAGAAGAAGUGUGUGGGUGCAGGAAUAAGUGGAGGGGAGCCACCAUGGGCCCACGAGGCAGGGGGCGCGCCCUGGACCCUCAUGGCCAGGUGCUUGCUCCCCCUGCUGUGUUCUCAGUACCAGAUAUUCUCAAAUGUUCCAAAAAAAAUCAUAUUUCAAUUUCAUGGCAUUUGGAGAACUUUUAUUUUCGGGGUAUUUUUUAUUGCACGGAUAAUUCAGAAAACUGACAGAAAAUACUAUUUUUGCUUUAUUUAAUCUAAAUUACAGAAAGUAAAAGGAGGGUAUAGAAGGUUGUGCUUUCUAACUUCAUCCAUCUCAUGCUCAUCAAAAGGAAUCCACUAACAAGGUUGAUCAAGUCUUGUUAACAAACUCAUUACGAAUAACAUGGAACCGGAGAAAUUUCGAAUAACACUAUGUUACCUCAACGGGGAUAUGCACAUCCCCAAUAAUAAGAAUAUCAUAUUUCUUCUUGACAGUAGGAAGAGCAAAUUCAAAACCUCCAAAAAUAAUCGAUGGAAUUUUUCAAAUAUAAUUUAUACUAUGGACUUGAGGUUGUUUCCUCGGAAAGUGUACCGUAUGCUCAUUACCGUUAACAUGAAAAGUGACAUUGCCUUUUUUGCAAUCAAUAACAGACCCUGCAGUAUUCAAAAAGGGUCUUCCAAGAAUAAUAGACAUACUAUUAUCCUCGGGAAUAUCAAGAAUAACAAAGUCCGUUAAGAUAGUAACGUUUGCAACCACAACAGGCACAUACUCACAAAUACCGACAGGUAUAGCAGUUGAUUUAUCGGCCAUUUGCAAAGAUAUUUUAGUAGGUGUCAACUUAUUCAAAUCAAGUCUACGAUAUAAGGAGAGAGGCAUAAAACUAACACCGGCUCCAAGAUCACAUAAAGCAGUUCCAACAUAAUUUCUUUUAAUGGAGCAUGGUAUAGUGGGUACUCCUGGAUCUCCAAGUUUCUUAGGUAUUCCACCCUUAAAAGUAUAAUUAGCAAGCAUGGUGGAAAUUCAGCUUCCAGUAUCUUUCUAUUAUUAGUAACAAUUUCUUUUAUAUACUUAGCAUAAGGAUUCAUUUUGAGCAUAUCAGUCAAACACAUACGCAAAAAGAUAGGUCUAAUCAUUUCAGCAAAGCGCUCAAAAUCCUCAUCAUCCUUUUUCUUGGAUGGUUUGGGAGGAAAAGGCAUGGGUUUCUGAACCCAUGGAUCCCUUUUCUUACCGUGCUUCCUAGCAAAAAAGUCUCUCUUAUCAUGAUGUUGAUUCUUUGAUUGUGGGUUAUCAAGAUCAACAGCAGGAUCAAUUUCUACAUGAUUAUCAUUGCUAGGUUGAGCAUUAAUAUGAACAUCAUUAUUAAUAUUAUAACUAGGUUCAUGUUCAUUACCAGAUUGUGUUUCAGCAUCAGAGAUAGAAAUAUCAUUGGGAUUCUCAGGUGUGUCAACAACAGGUUCACUAGAAGCAUGCAAAGUCCUAUCAUUCUUCUUUUUCUUCUUUUUAGAAGGACUAGGUGCAUGUAAAAUAUUUCUCUGAGAAUCCUGCUCAAUUCUCUUAGGGUGGCCCUCAGGAUACAAAGGUUCCUGAGUCACUUUUCCUGUCGGGUGGUAGGUGUGACAUAUGCCAACGGGUGGCUUAUCAUUGUGGGAGCCAGUAAGACAUCACCGGUGCCUGGAAACGGGAUGAGGCGAAGACAUGCACGCCGGCGAAUCUUACCCAGGUUCGGGGCUCUUCGUGUAGAUAACACCCCUAGUCCUGCUCUGCGGGGUCUCCGCAUGAUCACUAGAUCAACACAAGUAGCUACAAGAGGCUCCUUGAGCUGUUUGGCUAGAGGAAGAAGAAGGGCAAGGCUAGCUCUCCUUUUCUCUCUAUGUGGUGUCUAAAACUCUAGGAGAUCAACCCUUUGCAUGGGUGCCCUGGGGGGUUUAUAUAGGCCUACCCCCCAGGGGUACAAUGGUAAUCCGGCUGGAUGCGGGUCCUAGCCGUCAGUGUCUGUAUUCGCCGGCUUCUCCACCGACCGCUGGGGCCCGCCGACUGGUGGGUCCCGCCGGCUGCCCGCCAACCCCACCGCCUGGGGGUCUUGUCGGUGGCUGGUUACUGUAGCCUCGCCUCUGAUGACGAGGGCUUUGUCGAGGUAAGCAUGGCCAUAGUGCCGCCGCCUUGCGGGCUCUCACUGUAGCCUUACCUCGUCUUGUCUCCUUAAUGGUGCACAUACUUCGAGGGUGGGGUUAGCCGGCUAUGCCCGAGGCCGACUGGGGGAGGCCUGGCCGCUUUGAGCAUCUCUCUGGCUGAAGGGCCCCGCCGCCCGCGGGCCGUACUGGCGCCUGUCGUGGGUGGUGUCAUGGUCAACAUGGCAACAGUGCCGCGCCGGACGGGGGAUGGCCGACCCGUACGGCGCUCUGUGGCCACGCGUGCUUCUGGAUUCGGGGGUGGCAGGUUGUAUUGUAGCCAUGCCCCGUCUCAUCACCGUUAUGUGGGUGCAGCCCUUGAGGGUGUAGUCUUGGCCGGCUUCUAGGAGUCGGCCUUCUUCAUGGCCGGCUUUUGGGAGUCGGUCUUCUUCGUGGCCGGCUUCUGGGAGUCGGUCCUCUUGGGGCCGGCUUGCUGGAGUCGGCCAUCUUGUGGUUCUCUUCAGGAAGGUUUUUGAGGCCGGGUCGCCUUCCAGGAGUCGGCUCGGGAGAUAGCCGGCCAGGGGAAGGCGGCCCUGUGCUUUGGAUGCUUGAAGGCUCGAUCGGCGUGAUAAGUUUUUGAAGAGCCAGGGGGAGUCGGUUAGGCUACCCGUGGCCAUUUACUCCGACAGUAGUCCCCGAAGAUGGUUGGGCUUCGAGGCUGAGAGGGGGACGAGAAGCUCGGUCAGCUUCCUAUCUUGAAGAGCCAGCAGCUAGGAACCGGCUUCGGUUGGGUGCGCUGUCUUGGCGAGAUUUUGAAGUCUGAAGGCGGGAGCCAGCUGGUGCGCACGCCGGGUUGCGGGCCGGCCGCUUGCCGCGCGCGCGCCAUGUGGCACCCUCCGGCUGAAAAAAGCCUGCCAGCCCACGCGCGCGACGGGACGCCGCCGCAGGCCGGGGCCCACCACUCCCACGCCUAGGCCCAGGCGCGGAUUUUCUGUGGCCCAAAGCGGGCCGCUCGCCUUCCGAUGGCAGUUUCUGCACGUCGUUAGGGCACAAUAAUCACGGGACGUGGGGGAGUGGGCGCAGUUAAUCCCACGUUCCCCCCCCACGCCUCGCCUCCUCGGCUUCGCCGCACGAGACUAUAAGUAGGGGGAGGAGGGGGAGCGGCAGACGCUCGCACGCUCACCCUCGCUCCGCCAUUCUCUUCUUCUUUCUCUCCAUCGCAGAAACCCUUCGUCGCCGUGCCGUCCCUCUAGUCUUCGCACUACCCCGCAGCUUCGCCGCCGCGGGGCCGUGAUUUCACCGCCGCCGCGCCCUUUCUCGCCAGCUUCUUGCCGUGAUGCAGCACGGUGGAGACUCGGAUGGCUCCAACGUCCACGCGGACCACAUCGACUUCCUCCGCAAGACGCGGCGGUCGCCCGGCGAGGACCAAGUGCGGGUCCGCCUGGCGCCGAAGAAGGAGAUCACGCGGGACCUGAAAGAAGGCGAGCGGGUACUCUUCCGCUCGCAUUUCCUGCGUGGCCUUGGCCUGCCAGCUAGCGCCUUCUUCCGCUCCUUCCUUGAAUUCUACCAGCUCCAGCCGCACCACCUCACUCCAAACACGGUGGUGCUGCUUUCUGCCUUCGUCACUCUGUGCGAGGGCUUUCUUGGCGUUCUUCCCACCCUCGAGCUCUGGGGGGAAUUCAUCCAAUCCAUGCUCGGCACCCGGAUGCAGGGCGUGCCGGCUCAGAGCAGCGCCUUCAUUGCGAUGCGGAGGCCGGCAGCCGACAACCCCUUCCCAUCCAUUACGCUGAUCCAGUCGGUGAAGCUCUGGCAGAAAUCGUACUUCUACGUGAAGAACGUCGCCCCGCAAGGCGACUACGUCAACUUGCCGGCUUACGUAGCCGGCCCAUCGGCUGGGAGGCGGCCCCAGUGGUCCUAUCGGGCCAGGACGCUGACGCUGGAUGGAACCGCCGCCGUCGCCCGGCUCCGGGUAAUGAUCCAGCCGGAGGGCCUAACUGGGUCUGACCUGCUGGCCGCCUUCGUGGUGCGCCGGGUGCUCCCACUUCAAGGCCACCCUCAUUUGAUCUGUCAAAUGAGCGGCCAACUCGAUCCGAGUCGGAUGUGCACCAAGGAGAUGCCUCAUGACGAGGUAGCUCACAUGGUGAAUUAUCUUGCAAACUGCAAGCUCUCCUAGGAGUGGCAGUUUGGCAAGGAGCCGUACUCCCCUACCAACCCUCCGCCUAUGGUAUGCUUUCUAAAUCUUCUCUUCUUUAGUUUUGUCACCAAGUUUUUCUUGGCCGACUCUGACCAGUCGGCUCGUCUUAGCAGAACCCUCUCCUUCGACCGGCGGCUGGGUCAGCGGAGGCGGAUCGCCAAUUUCUCCCCGACCGGGCGGCGCACGACUUGGAGGACCCCGACUUGGGGGCGGCCGCUAUGGACGACAACACCGAGGUGGGAGGCGGCGAAGCAGGCGGCUCUGGGCUUGGAGCCAGCUUCGACGAUUGGCCAGAUGACGACGAGGCGGAAAUCGUCCCGCGCCGCCAGCCGGCGUCAGAUCAAGGCGCGGGCUCAUCUGCCGCGCCGGCUGCCCGAGGCGGCGCACAGAAGCGCCGGGCCACAUCGGGCUUGUUCGGCAGUCGGCCGAAGAAGCCCAAGGGCGGGGCGGCUGCGACCAGGCGGGAAGAGGAGGCCGCGAAGGCGGCCCGCUUCCGCAAGGUGGUGAAGCAGCCGCAAAAAGUUUCAGCGUAAGUGUCGAUUCUCUCGCGUAUUCCUUCUUCUUUUCUUGUCGAUUUCUGAAUCAUUGUCUUGACUUAUCAAACAGGGCUCCGCUCUCUCUUAAGCGGAUCGCUGCCGCCUCCGUGGUCGGAUCGGCGGGAGGAUCUGGGAGCACCCGCCGCAUGGACUCCCGUGCCGAGCUUCAAGCGGCGACGGAGAGGAACGCGCGGGAGGCACGGGAGGAGCGGGAGGCGGAGGAUCUGAAGGCGGCCGCCGCCAAGGCGGCGCAGGAGAAGGCGAAGGAGUCGGCGAAGGCACAAGCCGACGCAGCGGCCGAGGCUCAAGCGGAGGCUGCAGCCGCAGAGGCAGCGGCGGGGGCCUUGCUUGUCACCCCCCUGCGCGCCGUGGCGCCCGAGAUCCCGGAGCCACCGCGGGAGGAAGCCGGUGGCGACCUGCCGGGGAUGGAGAGGGAGGAGGAUGACGUCGUCGUCCAGGAAAGGGAGGCGGCACCGCCAUCGCCGACUGGGGCGGCCCAAGGCAGCCGGCCUAACACGCCACCUGCGCAACCGGCUGGAGGCGAGCCGGCUGCGAGGACGGACCUGGCGGUCCGGUCGCCAUCGCGCCAGCGCGUGGGGAAGGCAACUUCGGCGCUGGACCCACAGAAGGCCGCGGGCUCCAGCUCGUCGGCCCAGGAUCUGGAGACGGCCGGCGCCAGCUCGGGGUGGACGCCGGGUGGUGGGACGGCCAUGGUGAACGUGGCGGCGUAGGAAGUCCGGAACCGGCUUCAGUCCCAGGCCGCUGUGUUGAGGCAGUACAAUGACGAGUUCCUCGCGACACGGGCGGCCAUUCGGGUGAGUCUUCCCGUUUCUUGUUUCUUGAUCUUGAUUUCUUCCGUGGGGGCGCGUCAGCGCACCCACUGGGUGUAGUCCCCGAGUUCCGAGUCGGCUGCUGAGCCGGCGGCUUGGAACUUCUUGGUAGACUUUGUUUGCUAUCUUGUUUUUAUUCGCUUCUUUGUCCGACUUGCAGGACUACCACAACCUCCGUGCGGCUGCCUCCAACUCCCAGGCUCGGGAGCUGACCCAGAAGACCGCUGAUCUAACUGAGAGCCGGGGUAAGUGCUUCCUUUUUUAUCUCACGUGGGGGCGCGUCAGCGCACCCACUGGGUGUAGUCCCCGAGAUUCGGGCCGACUGCUGAGCAGUCGGGCCGGAUCUUUCCUGGCGACUUCUUUCUUAUUGUUUUUUUCCUCUUUGCCAUAUAUGCAGCGGCCAAUGCCGAACUGAGGGAGCAACUGGGUGGGACCCAGGCCGCCCUUCGCGCCAAGGAAGCCGAGUUCGACGCCUUGGAUCAGGAGCAUGACCGCCUGGUCAAGAAGCUAGCGGACCAGGAGGAGAGCCACAAGGCGGCCCUGAAGGUGGUGCAGGACAGUGAAGCCGCCCUCCAAGCCGAGUACGAGAGACCGAGGCGGCGAGCUGCGCUGAGGCGAGGCAGUCGUUGAUCAACGGCUACGGCCAGAUCGAAGACUUGGUUGACGGUAGGCCGCCUUCUUCUUCGUUCCUUUGCUUGCCGCUUGCCAUUUAGUCCAUUCUCUGACUUUGUGUUUUUUCUUUUUCUUUUCCUUUCUUUCUUGUGCAGAGUACUUCCCUAGUUACUCUACUGCCGCCAACCAGGUCAUCGAGGCCCACCACGAGGCGUAGAGGCAGGCUAGCGAUGAGAUCGCGCCGAAAGCUCGCCGGUUGCUUGAGGAACAGCUCUUGGCGAUCCAACCCCGCCUCCAGCCGGCUCACCGCAUGCUCCGCCGGCUUCAGCGUGUUGGAGCGCAAGUGCUGGCCGCUCUCUGGCUCGGCGAGGUGAUUCCCCGUACCACCAGUCGGACUGCGGACUGGCUGGAGGUAGCGGUCAGCCGCUUCGAGGCCUGGAAGGCUUCUGCGGCUCGGUCAGGCGCCAGGCGGGCGUUGGAGUUCGUCAAAGCCUGGUAUCCUGAGUUGAGCUUGGACCAGCUGGCCACCUGGCAACAGGAGGCCGACACGGAGCUGGAGCCGGCGCGGCCGGCUAUCAUCCAGCGUGCCUCGGCGAUCGCCGACUACACCGACACCAGCGCCUUUGCUCCUGAGGUGGAUGAUAAUGGCGUUGCUCAGCCGGAGGACUAGUUCAGGCUGAACCCAGCAGAUGGUGAGGACUCGGCGGAGGAGAUCGACUCCAGCGGCGAGGGCGAGGAGGAGGAGGAGGAUGGUGAAGACGCCGUGCCAGAUGGUGGAGCAGCCGGCCAGCCUCAGCUUGAUCGUGCCUCUAGCAAUGAGGCGCGUGCGAGCGCACCGCCUGAAGCCGGCGAUGAUCAAGCCGAGACUCGCCAGCCGGCCACUCCUCCAGCCGGCACUGCCGUCUCCACCGACCAGCCCGGCUCGCCUGUUGCGCCCUUAGCCUAAUCUGCCGCCUUUACUUUCAUGUUUUAUUACUCUUUGAACAAUAUUUUGUUAAAUUUGUGCAGUUCCACCCACUGGGGGUGUAUUCAAACUAUCUUGAAUGCCGGCCUUUCGAAGGCCUUUUGUGUAAAUAUAAUCAUGCAUGUGUUUGGCUUCCCAUUGUUCUUGUUGUUCAUCCUUUGGCUGUUUCCUUUGCCGCCCUCCCUUGGUCGCGGCCUUCCCAGCCGGACAGCUGCUCUGCAGUCUGUGGCUGGAGAGGUGCUUGGCCGGUUGGGAGGGCAAGUACUCUAGCUUUCUUGGAUUGUAGCAAAGUGAAUGGGAAGCCGGCCAGCCGGCUAUUCUGACAGCCGGUGGGCGUGGCGGGAGACCGGCUUGUGUUAUAUAGGUUCAUUAGUCCUUAGCCGUUUUUCGUUUGGGCAUCCUUUCCUGCCUUUGGCUCUUGCCAGUCGGACAGUCGGUUCUUCGAGCUGCGACUUUCAACAGGAGAGGGCUCGGGUGCUGGCACACUACUUGUCUGACUGCAGGUAGAACUUUAAUAUAACUCAAGGCGGCAAGUCCCCGGGCCGACUGGUCGAACCCGGUGCCGGACAGAAAAUCAAAUGUAAUAAUACAUUCAUAGGUAUGACACUCGUCAUACAUACAUAAAAGAGGGUAGUCCCCGAGUACACCGCGGGGGCCCGUUGUCUUGUACUUAAUACAAAAGGUAGCGUGGUACAUACUGCUUUUAACUGUAAAAUCUUCUCAGGAGAUUGGCGUUCCAUGGUCGUUCCGACUCCUUGCCGGAAUCAUCCCUCUUGCGUGCCUUCGGCUUCUGUGCGUCGAUCAGGUAGUAGGAGUCGUUGCCUAGGGCCUUGCUGAUGACGAAGGGGCCUUCCCAAGGGGCCGAGAGCUUGUGCUGGCCGGCUGUUCGCUGGAUCAGCCGGAGCACAAGAUCGCCUUCUUGGAAGGAUCUUGGCUUGACCUUCCGGUUGUGGUAACGGCGCAAACCCUGCUGGUAGAUGGUGGACCGGCUGAGUGCUAACAGCCGGCCCUCUUCCAGCAGGUCGACGCCGUCUUCUCGCGCUUCCUUGGCCUCCGCCUCCGUGUACAUGGUGACUUGAGGCGAGUCGAACUCGAUGUCAGUUGGGAUGACAGCCUCGGCACCAUAUACAAGGAAGAAAGGAGUGAAGCCGGUUGACUUGUUCGGGGUAGUACGCAGACUCAUCGAGCCAGCAACCGGCCGAACGCUCCAGUGGUACGACCAGUUGGGGCUUGAUGCCGGAGAGGAUGAGGCCGUUUGCUCGCUCGACUUGGCCGUUUGACUGCGGGUGGGCAACGGACGCUAAGUCCCGUCGGAUGCCCUGUGUCGCGCAGAAACGUGCCAGUGCUCCCUUGGCAAAAUUCGUGCCGUUGUCGGUGAUGAUGCUGUGUGGUAUACCAUACCGGGUGGUGAUAUCUGCGAUGAAUGUCACGACAGUCGGCCCAUUCAGCUUCUUCAUUGGCUUCGCUUCAAUCCACUUGGUGAAUUUGUCUAUGGCGACAAGCAGAUGUGUCAUGCCGCCGCGCGCCGUCUUGAAUGGGCCCACCAUGUCCAGCCCCCAGACGGCAAAGGGCCAGGUGAGGGGGAUGGUCUUGAGUGCAGAAGCCGGCAGGUGUUGCUUGGAGCUGAAGACUUGGCACCCCUUUGCAGCAUUUGACUAAUUCCUUGGCGUCUUCCAAAGCAGUCGGCCAGAAGAAACCAUGGCGGAAAGCUUUGGCGACAAGUGAUCUUGAGGCUGCGUGGUGGCCGCAUUCGCCUUGGUGGAUGUCUUUGAGGAUUGCUAUGCCCUUCUCUGGCUCGACGCAGCGCUGGAAGACUCCAGUGACGCUACGCUUAACGAGUUCUCUGUUAAUUAUUCUAUAUGCUCCGGCUCGGCGUUGAACUUGUCUUGCCGAGAUCUCAUCAGUCGGCAGCUCUCUGUUUACUAGGAAGUUGAGGAUGGGUUGGGCCCAUGAUGGAGCUGCGACUUCUUCUAUCGCCAACACGGCUACUGCGACCAGGGUGGGUGGGUUGGGUGCUGAAGAGUUGGAGUCGGCCACCGCCUGUUGUGUCGUUGCAGUCCCCGGGCCGACUGCUGCAGUCCCUGGGCCGGGUUCCGAAGUCCCCGAGCCAGGUGCGACUACGGCAGUCCCCGGGCCGCCUGUCGAAGUCCCCGAGCCGGCUUCUGGGUUCCCCAUGUCGGACCGACUGCAUCAGGGGCAGGCGGUACGAAGAUGGAGUCUGAUUCUGGAGACGGCUUGACAGAUGGUUUGAGGAGGCGCUAAAGAGAGACACCGGCCGGUAUAGCUUGUCGGGUGGAGGCGAUCCGUGCCAGGGCAUCUUCUUUCUCGUUGUCGGCUCGUGGCACGUGGAGGAACUCGCACCCUUCAAAGUAUCCGCUGAUUUGCUGAACGAGGAAUCGGUAGCUCGCCAUGUUUGCGUCCUUGGCGCCCCAGUCGCCAGAUGAUUGUUGGACUACCAGAUCCGAGUCGCCAUAGCACAAGAUCCGGCGUAUGCCGAGCUCUUUGGCUAGCCGGAGCCCGUGUAUGAGCGCCUCGUACUCGGCCACAUUGUUGGAGGCGGCAAAAUAAAUUUGCAGUGUGUAUCUGAGUUUGUCGCCCUUGGGAGAGGUGAGGACGAUGCCGGCUCCCAAGCCGGUGCGCAUCUUGGAUCCAUCGAAGUGCAUCCACCAAUGAGUGGAGUCGGGAGCCGGCGGUAGGUACUGGGUCUCGGCUCGGUCAACAAGGAAGUCGGCCAAUGCUUGGGACUUGAUGGCGGUGCGAGGCUGGUAGAAGAUCGUGUAAGGAGCCAGCGCAAUGGCCCACUUAGCCACCCGGCCGGAUGCAUCCCGGCUGCCUAUGAUCUCGGCAAGUGGGGCAGUGCAUACGACCGUGAUGGGAUGCUCUUGAAAGUAGGGCUUCAGCUUCUGGGCAGCAAAGUAUACUCCAUAGCACAUCUUCUGGUAGUGCGGGUAGUUUUGCUUCGAGGUGGACAGUACUUCGCUCAAAUAAUACACCGGUCUCUGGACUAACUGAGCCCGGCCUUCUUCCGGGCUUUGGACCACAAUAACUGUACUGACCACUCGGCUAGUCGCGGCAAUGUAAAGGAGCAUGGGCUCUUUCUCAGUCGGCGGUGCCAGGACAGGCGGCGUGGUCAGCAUUUUCUUCAACUCGUGGAAAGCUUGGUCUGCUUGGUCGUUCCACUCGAAGUGGGUGGACUUCUUCAUGAGUCGGUACAGGGGGAGAGCCUUCUCUCCUAGCCGGCUGAUGAAGCGGUUUAGGGAGGCCAGGCACCCGGUAAACUUCUGGACGUCUCGCAGCUUGGUAGGAAUCUCCAUUCUCUCAAUGGCCUUGAUCUUCACUAGGUUGCACUCAAUGCCGCGUUCGGAGACCAAGAAGCCUAGAAGCUGGCCGGCUGGUACUCCGAACACGCAUUUCUCAGGGUUGAGCUUGAUCUGAAAUCGGCACAAGUUGGCAAAUGUUUCUCUGAGGUCUUCCAGCAGGGUGCCGCGCUUCUCCGUCUUCACCACAAUAUCGUCUACAUAGACGUGGGCAUUUCUGCUGAGUUGCUUGAGGAGGCAUUUCUGCAUGCAACGCUGAAAAGUGGCACCGGCAUUUCUCAAGCCGAAUGUCAUAGUCAGGUAGCAGAAAGCUCCGAAUGGUGUGAUGAAGGCGGUCUUCAGGCGGUCGGCUGGAUCCAACUUGAUCUGAUGGUAGCCUGAGUAUGCAUCCAAGAAACUCAACAGCUCGCAUCCGGCUGUGGAGUCUAUCACUUGAUCAAUUCGGGGUAAGGAAAACAGAUCUUUGGGGCAGGCUUUGUUGAGGCUAGUGUAAUCUAUACACAUGCGCCAUUUGUUGUUUUUCUUCAAUACUAGGACCGGGUUGGCAAGCCAUUCUGGAAAGAACACCUCCAUAAUGAAGCCGGCUGCCAAGAGCCGGGCUAUCUCUUCUCCCACUAUCCUUCUCUUCUCCUCCGACAGUCGGCGGAGGGGUUGCUUGACUGGUUUUGCGUCUGCUCGAACGUGUAGCUUGUGCUCGGCGAAAUACUUCGGAACACCUGGCAUGUCCUUUGGGGACCAUGCAAAGAUGUCCCGAUUCUCACGGAGGAAGUCGACGAGCUCUCCUUCCUAUUUGUUGUCCAGGUUCGCACCAAUGACAGCAAACCUCUCCGGGUUCUCCGGGUCCAGAGGUAUCUUCUUGGUUUCCUUGGCCGGCUGGAAGGAGCCUUGAGCAUCAUAUUCCUUGGGGUCAGGGGACAGGGCCGGCUGCUUGCCGACCAUGGCCAUGACUCGGUCUAGCAUCUUGCUCUCUUCAGCAAUCACGAGGGACUCGGCCAGCCGGCUGCUGGCUGCAGCAUACUCGGAAGAUUUCCUGUAGUCUCCGGCUAUGGUGAUGAUCCCCUUCGAACUCGGCAUCUUCAUCUUGAGGUAGGCGUAGUGGGGCACAUCCAUGAACUUGGCCAGGGCAGGUCGGCCAAGCAAUGCAUGGUAAGGGCUCUCUAGAUCCACCACUUCGAACUAGAUCGCCUCUUGGCGGAAGUGAUCCUUGUCUCCGAAGAGAACAUCCAUCUUGAUCUUGCCGAUUGGGGAACAGGACAGGCCGGGUACGAUGCCAUGGAACACAAUCCGGCUUGGCAUGAGUUGCCUCGUCUUGAGGUUCAGCAUCUCCAUGGUUUGACGGUACAGUAUAUUGAUGCUGCUUCCACCGUCAAUCAGUACGCGAGAGAAACGGGCAGCUCGCCUUUCUGUCGCGAGGGUGGCAUCCAACACCAAUGCAUAGGAGCCGGGAGACGGCAUCACCUCUGGGUGAUCGGCCCGGCUCCAGCUGAUAGGCUUCUCAGACCAAUGCAUAAACUCUGGGUUGUUGGAGGCGACUGCGUUGACUUCUUGGUGUUGACAGCGCCGACUGCGCCUGUCUUCAAUUUGGCUUGUGAAGACUACGUAGGCGGCAUGCUCAUCUGGGAACUCAUCUUGAAUGGCUCCGACUGCUGGUCGAACAGCCGGUUGCUGAGGGCCUGGAGUCGGCGGGCCAGCAGGUGGAGGCGGCACCAGUCCCUUGCUUUUGGAGAUCCGUGUGAGCCAAUGGCAUUUCCGUGUCGUGUGGUUGGACGGCUUCGCGCCGCUGUGGAACUUGCAGGAGACAUCAAGGGUUUGCUCGUAGGAGAAAGCUGGCUGCCAAGCUGGCCUGCCGCCCUUCUGCUUCUUGGGAGCGGGCCGCUCUUCGAGCUGUUCGUCUUCGACUGUGGCUACUUGCCGACUGGUGGAAGGCGGCAUGGGGGCCCUGUGCUCGUUGUCGUUCUGGUAAGGGCGUCGGUUGGAGUCGCCAGCCGGCGUCUUGGGAGCCGGAGCGAGCACCUUCCCAGAGGCAUCCACUCGAAGCUCGGUCUUCAUCGAGGAGUUGGUAGUGGCGUACUUGUCUGCUAUGAUCAGCAGCUCGUCGAGGGUAGUCGGCUCGUCGCAGAGGAGUCGGUGCUUGAGGAGGGUGCCCUCUCGGCACCCGGCGGUGAAGUACUCUAUGGCUUGAACCUCGUGCACCCCCUCGCAGGAGUUGCGGAGCUCGGCCCAACGCGUGAGGUAGUCGUGAGUUGAUUCGCUGGGCCCUUGGACGCACAAGGAGAGCUGGCGGGGCUUGGGAGGCCGCUUGUACGUGCUGGUGAAGUUGCGGAUGAAGACUUCCGUCAAAUCUAGCCAGCUGUUGAUGCUGUAGGGCUUGAGGCUGUUCAGCCAAGUGCGUGUCGUGCCUUGAAGCAUGAGUGGGACGUACUUCACGGCAACGUGCCUGUUGCCAUUUGCUAUGCGGACUGCGGUGGAGUAGUCGAUUAACCAGUCUUCCGGCUUCACGGAGCCGUUGUACUUCGGCGUGUCUCUUGGGAGUGAGAACCCUUUGGGGAAGGGCUCGUCGCGGAUGCGGGGGCCAAAGCAAGGUGGGCCGACAUCAUCUUCUUCUUCCAACGCCAGGGACCGCGCUAGGCGGUCGAUCCGGUGGCGGGCGUCAUUCUCGCCGACUCCUUCGCGGUGGCCUAGUCGACCGCCGAGACUCGGAUGCGUGACAGGCGGCGGGGUGGGAUAUCUCUCCCCAUGAGGCGGGCGAGGAGGCGGAUCGCCUCGUCGUUCCACAGCUCGGGGGCGGCCUUCUGCGUCACGCUCGAUCGUGAGCCGAGUCCGACUGCGGCUAGCAGCCGGCUCCUUGUCUUUUCUUGCACGGGCGCCGUCUGCAGUCGGCAUUCGGGAUGUCGCGCCGUGCUAUCGGCGUGGGUGAGGACUUUCAGCGCGGGCGCUGGCUUCAUGCUGCCCUGCGGCAGCGUCGAUCAGCUGCUGGAUGCGUCUAGUCACGUAGGGGAGCUCGUCAGCCCCCAGCCCAUUCGGCUCAUCCGCGGCCACCUGAGCGGCACUCAGGUUCUCGAGCGGCGUGGCGUAGACUGGGCGGUCUGCUCCCAGCAUGCUGGCGAUGGCUGCGCCGCGCUUCUUGACGAAGCCUGCUCGGCUCGGCCCGCCAGGAGGCGGCGUGCCAAAGGCGGCGCGGUCGACUUCGCGCUGGUGAGCCUCAGUGAGGCGUCUCAUGGAUGCUAUCUUCUGGCCUUCCGCGACGAGGGCGAGGCGGCGUGCCUCCAGUGUCUCGGCGUCGGCGUCGGCCGGGAUGGGGACGGACAAGUCGUGCAGCGCCGCUUGUAGGGCGUCGUGGGCGUUCUCGCCGGAGACGGCACCGUGGUUGAUGACCAACACCUCAGUGACAGCGCUGCUACCACUGUCGGCUCAAGGGAGAGGGUCGUCGAUGAUCACCACGUUGGUGGGGAAGGCGUCAAGCGAUGUCGUGUCGGAGUCGACCAGCAUCGGGUCGGUGGAGCCGACCGACUCCAAGUUCACAGCAAGCUCGCUGGAGACGUGGAGCUGAUGGAGGAGGCUGACGAGGCGGCUCUCGGGGCAGUCUGUGCCCGCGUCGGAUGCGGGCUCGUCGGAGAUGCGAGCCUCGCCAAGAAGAUCGGUGAGGCAGCUCGCCGCGCAGGCGUCGUCGACGCCUUGCAGCGCAUCGGGGCAAGCGCCAUCGGGCGUGGCGGGCUGGCUACGCUCGCGGCGGAGGAAAAGGGUUCCCGUCCAGAACAGGUCUCCGGACGACGGUGCACCUGGCCCCACGGUGAGCGCCAAAUGUCGGGUGGUAGGUGCGACAUAUGCCAACGGGUGGCUUAUCAUUGUGGGAGCCAGUAAGACAUCGCCGGUGCCUGGAAACGGGAUGAGGCGAAGACAUGCACGCCGGCGAAUCUUACCCAGGUUCGGGGCUCUCCGUGGAGAUAACACCUCUAGUCCUGCUCUGCGGGGUCUCCGCAUGAUCACUAGGUCAACACAAGUAGCCACAAGAGGCUCCUUGAACUGUUUGGCUAGAGGAAGAAGAAGGGCAAGGCUAGCUCUCCUUUUCUCUCUAUGUGGUGUCUAAAACUCUAAGAGAUCAACCCUUUGCAUGGGUGCCCUGGGGGUUUAUAUAGGCCUACCCCCCCAGGGGUACAAUGGUAAUCCGGCUGGACGUGGGUCCUAGCCGUCAGUGUCUGCAUUCGCCGGCUUCUCCACCGACCGCUGGGGCCCACCGACUGGUGGGUCCCGCCGGCUGCCGGCCUCUUGCCCGACAGGCCGGCCCCACCGCCUGGGGGUCUUGUCGGUCGCUGGUUACUGUAGCCUCGCUUCUAAUGACGAGGGCUUUGUCGAGGUAAGCAUGGCCACAGUGUCGCCGCCUUGCAAGCUAUCACUAUAGCCUUACCUCGUCUUGUCUCCUGAAUGAUGCACAUACUUCGAGGGUGGGGGGUAGCCGGCUAUUGGGAGCCGGCUAUGCCUUAGGCCGACUGGGGGAGGCCUGGCCGCCUUCGAGCAUCUCUCUGGCUGAAGGGGCCCGCCGCCCGCGGGCCGUACUGGCGCAUGUCGUGGGUGGUGUCAUGGUCAACAUGGCAACAGUGCCGCGCCGGACGGCGGAUGGCCGACCCGUACGGCGCUCUGUGGCCACGCGUGCUUCAGGAUUCGGGGAUGGCAGGUUGUACUGUAGCCACGUCCCGUCUCAUCACCGUUAUGUGGGUGCAGCCCUUGAGGGUGCAAUCUUGGCCAGCUUCUAGGAGUCGGCCUUCUUCGUGGCCGGCUUCUGUGAGUCAGUCUUCUUCGUGGCCGGCUUCUGGGAGUCGGUCCUCUUGGGGCCGGCUUCCUGGAGUCGGCCAUGUUGUGGUUCUCUUCGGGAAGGUUUUUGAGUCCGGGUCGCCUUCCAGGAGUCGGCUCGGGAGAUAGCCGGCCAAGGGAAGGCGGCCCUGUGCUUUGGAUGCUUGAAGGCUCGAUCGGCCUGAUAAUUUUUUGAAGAGCCAGGGGGAGUCGGUUAGGCUACCCGUGGCCAUUUACUCUGACAUUACCCCCUCUAGUUGCAACUCUAACAGCAAAGUCGUUAUUCUUACUAUUCAAUUCAUUGAGCAAUUCAUUCUGAGCUUUAAGCACUUGUUCUACUUGAGUGGUAACCAUAGAAGCAUGUUCACUAAUGAGUUUAAGUUCACCUUUAACUCUAGACAUAUAAUCACCCAAGUGUUCAAUCAUAUAAGCAUUGCGUUUUAAUUCUCUACCAAAAUAAGCAUUGAAGUUUUCUUGCUUAACCAUAAAGUUAUCAAACUCAUCUAAGCAUUGACUAGCAAACUUAGUACGAGGGAUUUCAGCUUUAUCAUAUCUAUAGAGAGAAUUUACCUUUACUACCUGUGUUGGGUUAUCAAGACCAUGAAUCUCUUCAAUAGGUGAUGGAUUAAGACCAUGUAUUUCUUCAACAGGAGGUAGAUUAAGGCCAUGCAUUUCUUCAACAGGAGGUAAAUUCUUAACAUCUCCAGCUUUAAUACCUUUUUCUUUCAUAGAUUUCUUUGCCUCUUGCAUAUCUUCAGGACUAAGAAAUACAAUACCCCUUUUCUUCGGAGUUGGCUUAGGAGUCGGUUCAGGAAGUGUCCAAUUAUUUUCAUUUGUCAACAUAUUAUUCAAUAGAAUUUCAGCUUGAUCAACCGUUCUUUCCCUGAAAACACAACCAGCACAACUAUGCAGGUGGUCUAUGGAAGCAUCGGUUAGUCCAUUAUAAAAUAUAUCAAGUAUUUCAUUUUUCUUGAGAGGAUGAUCAGGCAAAGCAUUAAGUAAUUGGAGAAGCCUCCCCCAAGCUUGUGGGAGACUCUCUUCUUCAAUUUGCACAAAAUUAUAUAUUUCCCUUAGAGUAGCUUGUUUCUUAUGAGCAGGGAAAUAUUUAGCAGAGAAGUAAUAAAUCAUAUCCCUGGGACUACGCACACAACCAGGAUCAAGAGAAUUAAACCAUAUCUUAGCAUCACCCUUUAAUGAGAACUGAAAUAAUUUAAGGAUAUAAUAGCAGCGAGUUUUCUCAUCAUUAGUGAAUAGGGUGGCUAUAUCAUUUAAUUUAGUAAGAUGUGCCACAACAGUUUCAGAUUCAUAGCCAUAGAAAGGAUCAGAUUCAACUAAAGUAAUUAUCUCAGUAUCAACAGAGAAAUCAUAAUCCUUGUCAGUAACAAAAAUAGGUGAAGUACCAUAAGCAGGGUCAUAUUUCAUUCUAGCAUUCAGAGUUUUUUCUUUCAGCUUAGCUAAUAAUUUCAUAAGAUCACUCCUAUCAUUGCAAGCAAGAAAGUCUGAAGCAGUUUCUUCAUCCAUAACAUAACCCUCAGGCACAACAGGCAUUUCAUAUCUAGGGGGCGAAUCUUCAUCAUCACUUUCAUCAAUAUUAUCAGUUUCAAUAAUUUCAUUCUCUCUAGCCCUAGCAAGUUGUUCAUCAAGAAAUUCACCUAGUGGCACAGUAGUAUAAAGCAUAGAAGUAGUUUCAUCAUAAGCAUCAUGCAUAGCAGAAGUGGCAUCAUCAAUAACAUGCGACAUAUCGAAAUUAAUAGCAGAAGCAGGUUUAGGUGUUGCAAGCUUACUCAAAAUAGUAGGUGAAUAGAGUGCAGAGCUAGAUGGCAGUUCCUUACCUCCCCUCGUAGUUGAGGGAUAAAUUUUGGUUUUCUCGUCUUUCAAGUUCCUCAUAGUGACCAGUAGAUAUAAAUCCCAAGUGACUCAAAGAAUAGAGCUAUGCUCCCCGGCAACGGCGCCAGAAAAUAGUCUUGAUAACCCACAAGUAUAGGGGAUCGCAACAGUUUUCUAGGGUAGAGUAUUCAACCCAAAUUUAUUGAUUCGACACAAGGGGAGCCAAAGAAUAUUCUCAAGUAUUUGCAGUUGAGUUGUCAAUUCAACCACACCUGGAUAACUUAGUAUCUGCAGCAAAGUAAUAUGAUAGUAACGGUAACAGUGGCAAAGGUAAUAGUGACAGCUUUGUAGUGAUUGUAACAACAGGAACGAUAAAGUAACUAAGCGAAGAACAAUAUGUGAAAAGCUCGUAGGCAUUGGAUCGGUGAUGGAGAAUUAUGCCGGAUGCGAUUAUUCAUGCAACAGUUAUAACAUAGGGUGCAAUAGAACUAGCUCCAAUUCAUCAAUGUAAUGUAGGCAUGUAUUCCGAAUAUAGUCAUACGUGCUUAAGGAAAAGAACUUGCAUGCCAUCUUUUGUCCUAUUCUCACAUGGCAGCGGGGUCCUAGUGGAAACUAAGGGAUAUUAAGGCCUCCUUUUAAUAGAGUACCGGACCAAAGAAUUAACACAUAGUGAAUACAUGAACUCCUCAAACUACGGUCAUCACGGGAAGUGGUCCCGAUUAUUGUCACUUCGGGGUUGCCGGAUCAUAACACAUAGUAGGUGACUAUAGACUUGCAAGAUAGGAUCAAGAACUCACAUAUAUUCAUGAAAACAUAAUAGGUUCAGAUCUGAAAUCAUGGCACCCGGGCCCUAGUGACAAGCGUUAAGCAUAGCAAAGUCAUAGCAACAUCAAUCUCAGAACAUAGUGGAUACUAGGGAUCAAACCCUAACAAAACUAACUCGAUUACAUGAUUAAUCUCAUCCAACCCAUCACCGUCCAGCAAGNNNNNNNNNNNNNNNNNNNNNNNNNNNNNNNNNNNNNNNNNNNNNNNNNNNNNNNNNNNNNNNNNNNNNNNNNNNNNNNNNNNNNNNNNNNNNNNNNNNNNNNNNNNNNNNNNNNNNNNNNNNNNNNNNNNNNNNNNNNNNNNNNNNNNNNNNNNNNNNNNNNNNNNNNNNNNNNNNNNNNNNNNNNNNNNNNNNNNNNNNNNNNNNNNNNNNNNNNNNNNNNNNNNNNNNNNNNNNNNNNNNNNNNNNNNNNNNNNNNNNNNNNNNNNNNNNNNNNNNNNNNNNNNNNNNNNNNNNNNNNNNNNNNNNNNNNNNNNNNNNNNNNNNNNNNNNNNNNNNNNNNNNNNNNNNNNNNNNNNNNNNNNNNNNNNNNNNNNNNNNNNNNNNNNNNNNNNNNNNNNNNNNNNNNNNNNNNNNNNNNNNNNNNNNNNNNNNNNNNNNNNNNNNNNNNNNNNNNNNNNNNNNNNNNNNNNNNNNNNNNNNNNNNNNNNNNNNNNNNNNNNNNNNNNNNNNNNNNNNNNNNNNNNNNNNNNNNNNNNNNNNNNNNNNNNNNNNNNNNNNNNNNNNNNNNNNNNNNNNNNNNNNNNNNNNNNNNNNNNNNNNNNNNNNNNNNNNNNNNNNNNNNNNNNNNNNNNNNNNNNNNNNNNNNNNNNNNNNNNNNNNNNNNNNNNNNNNNNNNNNNNNNNNNNNNNNNNNNNNNNNNNNNNNNNNNNNNNNNNNNNNNNNNNNNNNNNNNNNNNNNNNNNNNNNNNNNNNNNNNNNNNNNNNNNNNNNNNNNNNNNNNNNNNNNNNNNNNNNNNNNNNNNNNNNNNNNNNNNNNNNNNNNNNNNNNNNNNNNNNNNNNNNNNNNNNNNNNNNNNNNNNNNNNNNNNNNNNNNNNNNNNNNNNNNNNNNNNNNNNNNNNNNNNNNNNNNNNNNNNNNNNNNNNNNNNNNNNNNNNNNNNNNNNNNNNNNNNNNNNNNNNNNNNNNNNNNNNNNNNNNNNNNNNNNNNNNNNNNNNNNNNNNNNNNNNNNNNNNNNNNNNNNNNNNNNNNNNNNNNNNNNNNNNNNNNNNNNNNNNNNNNNNNNNNNNNNNNNNNNNNNNNNNNNNNNNNNNNNNNNNNNNNNNNNNNNNNNNNNNNNNNNNNNNNNNNNNNNNNNNNNNNNNNNNNNNNNNNNNNNNNNNNNNNNNNNNNNNNNNNNNNNNNNNNNNNNNNNNNNNNNNNNNNNNNNNNNNNNNNNNNNNNNNNNNNNNNNNNNNNNNNNNNNNNNNNNNNNNNNNNNNNNNNNNNNNNNNNNNNNNNNNNNNNNNNNNNNNNNNNNNNNNNNNNNNNNNNNNNNNNNNNNNNNNNNNNNNNNNNNNNNNNNNNNNNNNNNNNNNNNNNNNNNNNNNNNNNNNNNNNNNNNNNNNNNNNNNNNNNNNNNNNNNNNNNNNNNNNNNNNNNNNNNNNNNNNNNNNNNNNNNNNNNNNNNNNNNNNNNNNNNNNNNNNNNNNNNNNNNNNNNNNNNNNNNNNNNNNNNNNNNNNNNNNNNNNNNNNNNNNNNNNNNNNNNNNNNNNNNNNNNNNNNNNNNNNNNNNNNNNNNNNNNNNNNNNNNNNNNNNNNNNNNNNNNNNNNNNNNNNNNNNNNNNNNNNNNNNNNNNNNNNNNNNNNNNNNNNNNNNNNNNNNNNNNNNNNNNNNNNNNNNNNNNNNNNNNNNNNNNNNNNNNNNNNNNNNNNNNNNNNNNNNNNNNNNNNNNNNNNNNNNNNNNNNNNNNNNNNCUUGCUGGACGGUGAUGGGUUGGAUGAGAUUAAUCAUGUAAUCGAGUUAGUUUUGUUAGGGUUUGAUCCCUAGUAUCCACUAUGUUCUGAGAUUGAUGUUGCUAUGACUUUGCUAUGCUUAACGCUUGUCACUAGGGCCCGGGUGCCAUGAUUUCAGAUCUGAACCUAUUAUGUUUUCAUGAAUAUAUGUGAGUUCUUGAUCCUAUCUUGCAAGUCUAUAGUCACCUACUAUGUGUUAUGAUCCGGCAACCCCGAAGUGACAAUAAUCGGGACCACUGCCGGUGAUGACCGUAGUUUGAUGAGUUCAUGUAUGCACUAUGUGUUAAUGCUUUGGUCCGGUACUCUAUUAAAAGGAGGCCUUAAUAUCCCUUAGUUUCCAUUAGGACCCCGCUCCACGGGAGGGUAGGACAAAAGAUGUCAAGCAAGUUCUUUUCCAUAAGCAUGUAUGACUAUAUUCGGAAUACAUGCCUACAUUUCAUUGAUGAAUUGGAGCUAGUUCUGUGUCACCCUAUGUUAUGAUUGUUACAUGAUGAACCGCAUCCGGCAUAAUUCUCCACCACCGAUCCAAUGCCUAUGAGCUUUUCACAUGUUGUUCUUCGCUUAUUUACUUUUCCGUUGCUACUGUUACAAUCACUACAAAACCCGAAAAUAUUACUUUUGCUACCGUUACCGUUACUUCCAUAUUACUUUGCUACUAAAUACUUUGCUGCAGAUACUAAGUUAUCCAGGUGUGGUUGAAUUGACAACUCAACUGCUAAUACUUGAGAAUAUUCUUUGGCUCCUCUUGUGUCGAAUCAAUAAAUUUGGGUUGUAUACUCUACCCUCGAAAACUGUUGCGAUCCCCUAUACUUGUGGGUUAUCAAGACUAUUUUCUAGCGCCGUUGCCGGGGAGCAUAGCUCUAUUCUUUGAGUCACUUGGGAUUUAUAUCUGCUGGUCACUAUGAAGAACUUGAAAGACGCGAAAACAAAAGUUUAUCCCUCAACUACGAGGGGAGGUAAGGAACUGCCAUCUAGCUCUGGACUUGAUUCACCUUCUGUUUUGAGUAAUCUUGCGACACCUAAACCUGCUUCUGCUAUUAAUUUUGAUAUGUCGCAUGUUAUUGAUGAUGCCACUUCUGCUAUGCAUGAUACUUAUGAUGAAACUACUUCUAUGCUUGAUACUACUGUGCCACUUGGUGAAUUUCUUGAUGAACAACUUACUAGGGAUAGAGAGAAUGAAAUUAUUGAAACUGAUAAUAUUGAAGAUAGUGAUGAUGAAGACUCUCCCCUAAUAAAUAUGAAUUGCCUGUUGUGCCUGAGGGUUAUGUUCUGGAUGAAGAAUCUGCUAGAGCCAUUCUUGCUUGCAAUGAUAGAAGUGACCUUAUGAAAUUAUUAGCUAAAUGGAAGCAACAAUCUCUUAAUGCUAGAAUGAAACCUAACCCUGCUUUUGGUACUUCACCUAUCUAUGUUACUGAUAAGGAUUAUGAAUUCUCUGUUGAUCCUGAUAUAAUUACUUUGGUUGAAUCUGAUCCUUUUUAUGGCUAUGAAUCUGAAACUGUUGUGGCACAUCUUACUAAAUUAAAUGAUAUAGCCACCCUAUUCACUAACGAUGAGAGAGCUCGUUACUUUUAUAUCCUUAAAAUAUUUCCGUUCUCAUUAAAGGGUGAUGCUAAGACAUGGUUUAAUUCUGUUGAUCCUGGUUGUGUGCGUAGUCCCCAGGAUAUGAUUUAUUACUUCUCUGCUAAAUAUUUCCCUGCUCAUAAGAAACAAGCUGCUUUAAGGGAUAUAUAUAAUUUUGUGCAAAUUGAAGAAGAGAGUCUCCCACAAGCUUGGGGGAGGCUUCUCCAAUUACUUAAUGCUUUGCCUGAUCAUCCUCUUAAGAAAAAUGAAAUACUUGAUAUCUUUUAUAAUGGACUAACCGAUGCUUCCAGAGAUUACCUGUAUAGUUGUGCUGGUUCUGUUUUCCCGGAAAGAACACCGUAUGAAGCUGAAAUUCUAUUGAAUAAUAUGUUGACCAAUGAAAAUUAUUGGACACUUCCUGAGCCAACUCCUGAACCUAUUCCUAAACCAACUUCGAAGAAAAGAGGUGUUCUAUUUCUCAGUCCUGAAGAUAUGCAAGAGGCAAAGAAAUCUAUGAAAGAAAAGGGUAUUAAGGCUGAAGAUGUUAAGAAUUUGCCUCCUAUUGAAGAAAUACAUGGUCUUAAUUUACUGCCUGUUGAAGAAACAUAUGAUCUUAAUCCUUCACCUAUUGAAGAAACUCAUGCUCUUGAUAACCCGACACAGGUAGUAAAGGUAAAUUCUCUCUAUAGAUAUGAUAAAGCUGAAAUCCCUCCUACUAAGUUUGCUAGCCAAUGUUUGGAUGAAUUUGAUAACUUUAUGGUUAAGCAAGAAGACUUCAAUGCUUAUUUUGGUAGACAAUUAAAACAAAAUGCUUAUAUGAUUGAACACUUGGGUGACUAUAUGUCUAGAGUUAAAGGUGAACUUAAACUCAUUAGUAAACAUGCUUCUAUGGUUACCACUCAAGUAGAACAAAUACUUAAAGCUCAGAAUGAUUUGCUCAAUGAAUUGAAUAGUAAGAAUAAUGGCUAUGCGGUUAGAGUGGCUACUAGAACUGGUAAAAUGACUCAGGAACCUUUGUAUCCUGAAGGCCAUCCUAAGAGAAUUGAGCAAGAUUCUCAGAGAAAUAAUAUAGAUGCACCUAGUCCUUCUAAAAAUAAGAAAAAGAAAAAUGAUAGGACUUUGCAUGCUUCUAGUGAACCUAUUGUUGAAAUACCUGAGAAUCCAAAUGAUAUUUCUAUUUCUGAUGCUGAAACAGAAUCUGGUAAUGAACAUGAACCAAGUGAAAAUAUUAAUAAAGAUGUUCAUGAUGAUGCUCAACCUAGGAAUGAUAUGAUGUAGAGAUUGAACCUGCUGUUGAUCUGGAUAACACACAAUCAAAGAAUCAACGUUAUGAUAAAAGAGACUUUGUUGCUAGGAAACAUGGUAAAGAAAGAGAACCAUGGGUUCAGAAACCCAUUCCUUUUCCUCCCAAACCAUCCAAGAAAAAGGAUGAUGAGGAUUUUGAGCGCUUUGCUGAAAUGAUUAGACCUAUCUUUUUGCGUAUUCGAUUAACUAAUAUGCUCAAAAUGAAUCCUUAUGCUAAAUAUAUGAAAGAAAUUGUUACAAAUAAAAGAAAGAUACCGGAAGCUGAAAUUUCCACCAUGCUUGCUAAUUACACUUUUAAGGGUGGAAUACCAAAAAACUAGGAGAUCCAGGAGUACCAACUAUACCAUGCUCCAUUAAAAGAAACUAUGUCAAAACUGCUUUAUGUGAUCUUGGAGCCAGUGUUAAUGUUAUGCCUCUCUCUUUAUAUCGUAGACUUGAUUUGAAUAAGUUGACACCUACUGAAAUAUCUUUGCAAAUGGCUGAUAAAUCAACUGCUAUACCUGUCGGUAUUUGUGAGGAUGUGCCUGUUGUGGUUGCAAACGUUACUAUUUUAACGGACUUUGUUAUUCUUGAUAUUCCCGAGGACGAUAGUAUGUCUAUUAUUCUUGGAAGACCCUUUUUGAAUACUGCAGCGGCUGUUAUUGAUUGCAACAAAGGCAAUGUCACUUUUCAUGUUAAUGGUAAUGAGCACACGGUACACUUUCCGAGGAAACAACCUGAAGUCCACAGUAUCAAUUUUAUUGGAAAAAUUCCAUCAAUUAUUUUUGGAGGUUUUGAAUUUCCUCUUCCUACUGUCAAGAAGAAAUAUGAUAUUCUUAUUAUUGGGGAUGUGCAUAUCCCCGUUGAGGUAACAUAGUGUUAUUCGAAAUUUCUCCGGUUCCAUGUUAUUCGGAAUGAGUUUGUUAACAAGACUUGAUCAACCUUGUUAGUGGAUUCCUUUUGAUGAGCAUGAGAUGGGUGAAGUUAGAAAGCACAACCUUCUGUACCCUCUCUCUACUUUCUGUUAUUUAGUUGAAAUAAAGUAAAAAUAGUAUUUUCUUGUCUGUUUUCUGAAUUAUCCAUGCAAUAUAAAAAUACCACGAAAAUAAAAGUUCACCAAAUGCCUUCCAAUUUAAUAUGAUUUUUUCUGGAAUAUUUGAGAAUAUCUGGCAGUGAGAACACAGUAGGGGAGCAAGCACCUGGCCACGAGGGCCCAGGGCACGCCCCCUGCCUCGUGGGCCCAUGGUGGCUCCCCUCCACUUAUUCCUGCACCCACACACUUCUUCUUCCUCCAAAAAAAAAUCAACAUCCAGCUCAAGAACGAGUUCUAGCUCAUUUUGCUGCGAUUUUCGAUCUCCUUGCUCAAAGCACCUCUCACAAAACUGCUUUAGGGGAUUGUUCCUUGGUAUGUGACUCCUCCAUUGGUCCAAUUAGUUUUUGUUCUAGUGCUUUAUUCAUUGCAAAUUUGUGCUACCUAGGUGACCAUGUUCUUGAGCUUGCAUGUCAAAUUUAUAUGGUUCCAAGUAGUUCUAAUGCAUGAUAUAGGCCCUAGGCACUUGUAGGAGUAGUUUCUAUCAAUUUUGUUGAGCUUGAUUCACCAUCAGGUUGUCGAGAGGAAUGAACCACCUCUCCAGUAUAGACUAAUCUUUGACAAGCGUCACGCCGUCACUAUUGUUCUUCCUGCCCCUACUCUCUUUGACUUUCAAGAAAAAGGGAGACAUUAUAUAACCAGAGAGGAGACGGAGGAGUAUAGGAGGAGGGCUGAGAUAGCUCGCCUCCAAGAUGCAGCACACGAUGCAACGACCGAUGCAUCUCAGUACGACCCCAACUAUAACUUUCGAUAUCCGCCAGGCCAUCCGUGGCAAUAAACCAACUUAGGCCAAAAGCCUAAGCUUGGGGGAUUACGUAUUUCCCACCGACAUUACAUCUAUGUUCACACACUCAUUGCUAGAUGUCGGUGCUCAUACUUUUUCACUGUAAUAUCCAUGCUAGUUUAUUUUAUUUUUCUUGCUUUCUUCUUGUGUGUUUGAUAAACCUUAAGAAAAACAAAAAAAUUAGUGUAGCUUUUAGUUAGUUUACUUUUCUUGCUGUAGUAGUAAUAAUUAAAAACAAAACCCCAAAAAGAUUUCCCGUUCUUCUUUUGCUUGUUGGGAGCUUUCCCGUGUAAAUAGUUUUAUUUUCUUUCCUUUUCUUUGGGGGUCGAUAUGAGAAGACCAUGAUUAAAUUGUUGAAGUGGCUCGUAUAUGCAUUAUUGUUGAUUUAACCAAGAGCCCAUAUUGCCUUGUCUUCUCCUGUUUAUUGAAUGCUCGCAGAUUCCAGCUUAGUCCAAUGCACGUGCACUC